rnacentral:lncRNA from 1 species
AUUAAACUGAUUUAUUACUUGUUCCAUUAAAACCAUCACACUCGGGUACGUGGUGAAACCGUGAAAGUUAAAAAACAAAAACAGUAGUAGUAGAGUGAGGCCCUGCUCGCUGUUACAUGAGAGGUGCACGAAGAACCAGCACACGAGCAGAGCAUCCAGCCCACACGCAGCAAGGAAACGGUAGGGAUGCCGCCGCCGCCGCCGGCCGAUCCGCCGCCCGGCGAUGAUGCGUCGUCGUCGUCGUUCAGGUGCACGCGGAGGCGGAGCGGCGUGCGGCGCGGCGCGGUCGAGAGGUGAUGAGUAGUUGACGCGGAGCAGAUAUAUAUGGAUGGAUGGCGUCGUCGUCGGUCGGACGACGGCGAGGUCGCGCGCAUCACGCGCGGGCGUAGCUGCGGGCGAGGUGGGCGGCGCGGAGGUCGGCGGCGUCGGCGCCGCCGGCGAAGUUGGAGGGCCGGUAGUGGCCCGUCACGGGGUCGGGCACCCACGACACCUCCCUCGCCGCCGACGACGACGACCCGUCCUUCGCCUGCGUCAUCCCCGCAGCGCCCUUCCCUUCCACCGCCGCCGCCGCCCGCCUCAUCGCCGACGACGCCGCCGACGCGGCGUAACCCCUCGUCGUCGUCACCCUCGCCGCGAGCGCCCGCGCCGCGGCGGCAGCGGCAGCAGCAGCAGAGGUGGAGAGAGCGAGAGCCAUCGGAUCACUCGAUCGGACGGCUGAUGGCGCUCCGCUCCUCUCCUUCUCUACUCUGCUUCGGUGCGACGCGACUUGGGCUUGUGAGCUCUGUGUGGGGAGGAGGGAGGCGGAGGCGGACGCGCAUUUAAAGAGGCGAGACCGGGGGGGAGGGGGCUCGAUUUUAUUAUUUUUUAUAAAAUAUUUUUUGGUGGGGUGCCACGUGGCGUGGGAAAGCACGUGACGGGUCGAGGGAAACGUCGCCGCGGGUUCGGGCUGUCGGCGACGCGACGCGCCGCGGAGACGGUGGACGGGUCGAGUCGUGGUCUGGCUAUGCAGCGGUUUGCGGGUCGGUGGACGUGGUCCACCACGCCAACGUGAGUAAACCGAUGAUGAUGAGCGUCUCUGGUUUGUCUUUGUCCACUGUGAGGAAGUGAGGGCAUCACAUUGUGAUCCAUAGGUAAAUUAUAAUAUUUUAUUCACGUUGUGUAAUUAGUUCCUAUAAAAAACAACCAAAGAUACCUAUAUACAUAUAUUGAAUAAAAAAAAUAGUAGUAUUAUCUAUGUCUACUUCUCUCUUCAGAUAAUAUUACUUCGUGUCUAUAUACAAUGUUGGGAUUGCUAUAGUUAAAAUCUAUUUACAUAGAUUCUGUCUAUAUUGAUCACAUUUGCCAUAUAAAUUGGUGAUGCCUUAUUAUUGGUGGCUUUUUAUAUAAGCUAACCGAUGAGUACAUUUACGUUUUUUAAGCUGCUAAACGAUACUCCCUUCAUCCCAAUAUAUAAGAGAUUUUAGAUGGAUGUGAUAUAUCCUAGUACCAUAUUCAGAUUCGUAUUACUAGUGUGUUUUACAUCCACCUAAAAUCUCUUAUAUUGUUGGACGGAAAGAAUAUAUUGCAACGUGAAAAUUUUCUGUGUAGAAGUUCUUUUAAAAUAUCAAAUAGUUUUAUUUAAGUUUGUAAUAAUUAAAAUUAGAUUAAUCAUGUGUUAAUGAUUUUUUUUCAUCGCUUUAUCUUCCCUAGAAAAACGAAGACCACGUAGCAUUUCUCUUUAUUCUCUCCAUUUCAAAUUACUUGUUUAAAAUACUAGUUAUUAUUAUAAUUUUAAAUUUCUAAGCACUUUUUACUAAAAUGUUUCCUGUUUGCUCCUCAUAAAUGCAUUAACACCUGUGACCGUAAUGUACAGGGGUUGUUUCUUUUGUUGCUUGAUUUAGAUCGGCGCAAAGUUUGGCUUUUGGUUGAAAUUAGAUAUAAUGUGACUGAAAAGUUAGGUGUGUAUGAUAGGUUGAUGUGAUAGAAAAUGACUGAAGUUUGGAUCCAAACUUUGGAUCUAAACACAGCCUUGCUAUAUCUCUGUGUUGUAUCUAAAAGUUGAUCGAAUGGUAGUACGCAGGAGUAACUAAAUUGAAACGGAGGGAGUUUAUGGUGGUGAGUCGCGUUUGCGUUGAAGGGGGGAAGUUGAGUUGGUGCUCUUGUUCGGUUUUGAUAGGUGAUGGGGGUGUUUAAUUAGUCUAUGUAAGGUAGAGAUUGAGUUGACUUGCGGCAUGAAUAAAAAUUCAAUCUUAUCUCCCUUGUUGUUUGCGUAUUUUAGCCGAAACAGCUCCUUCACGAUAACAUUAACUAUACUUCAGAUGAAUACAAUUUGGCCACCCCAUAACACUUAAAUAUCGAAAAUUAUCAACACUAAAUGAGCACUUUUUAUUAUGCAUUGUGACCAUCACCACCGCCCGCGUAAAAUAACCAGGAGAAAGGGCUUGUUUGUUUCGUUGCUAGAAUCAGCCUUAUCAAUUUUUUUUUAUAUAUAGAUGAAUGUGCAUUUAGUUUAAUAUCCUUUUAAACUUUACUAGUAGUGUCUUUAUGAGAGAAUCUAUGGAACCACUAAAUUUUGAUAACGCAUCAUUGGCAAACCUUACCUAAAAUAGGUGGGUUAAAAAGUGACAAUAAAAUGGACAUGUGGAUGUGGUAGGGUUAAAAGUGGUAAUAAUGUGAACAUAUCCAAAGUAGCAAUAAUGUUAUGAUAAUGGAAGUUCAACCAGUGACUGGGCAAGCUCCCGGCAGGUCGGGCAGCCACUCGGGCUCCAUUAUCGCCAUCUCCAUUGCUGAAUGCCAUCAAUGUUUGUAAAAAUCGGUCAAUCGCGGUAAAAAGUAUUAGUCACUUAUAGCUCGGUAACGCCAUCUCUUUCUCAACCAUCUCCAUCAUCUCAGCAAGACAGAAGUUGAUUUGCAGCAUUCAAGUGCUCCAUCGUUGAAGGUUGGCUACUCUUCGGAUUCACCCUUCCUAUUGUUCUCUAACAGAAGAAACCAUGCUGGAUUUAUCAUUCGGGUUGAGCUCGGACCACCUGCACAAUUUCGGUUGACAGGGUUGAUGUUAGAGCUCCUCAGAUUCAAUGAUGAGCCUCGUGGGGAUCCUUCGCUAAGUCCGGUGACGCACACACCAAAAUCUACAGCUCAACAACAAACCUCAGUCUUGUGCCGUUUCCGUGGAGGCAGCCGAUGGGGAUCAACGGUUUGUCAAGCGGAGUGCACAUCUUUUGAGGCCCAGGGUAGCGGUCGUCGCGGCUUCGUCGCAGAUCCCUGCCGACUUGCUCAUUUUUCUAAUGUUAGGUUAUUUCAGGAAGAUUGUUUCCGUAGUUCAGUUAACCCUCCCUUCUCAGGGGUGGCUCUUUUGCUUUCAGUUUUUAUCCUUGGUUAUGUAUUGGGGUUUAUCCUCUAAUUCUGCUCUUGCUUAAUAAAGUUGAUGUGUUUUUUUAAAAAAAAAAACCUCAACCUGUGCAGCUGGCCAUGUUAAGAUUAAGGCUGUGUUUUUUUUUCAAGUUUUCAACUCAUUUCCUCUUUUUCGCACGUCCAUUGCUGAGUGCCAUCGAUGUUUAAAUCGGUCAAUCGCGGUAAAAAGUAUUAGUCACUCAGGCUCGGUAAUGCCGCUAGCUUCGUCACUGAGUCCAACCUCAACCUGUGCAGCUGGCCAUAUUAAGGGCAAGUACAACGGGUCGGCGAGACCUAUAGGUGUCCAAACGGGCGGCACGGCCCGGCCCGGCACGGGCACGGUUCCGGCACGGGCACGGUUCCGGCACGGCCCGUUAGGCACGGCUGAUGAAACGGGCCGUGCCGUGCCGGCCCACGUGCCGAGCCGCCGGCCCAAGCACGGCCCGUGGAUGGCCGGGCCGUGCCCGUGCCGGCACGGCACGCCCGCGGCCCACGGGCCGUUCGGGGCACGGCGGCCCGUGAAGGCAGGCCGCCAGCCCGCCAGCCUGCAGUGCACAGUGUUUUUUUUUAAAAAAAAAAGCAAAGGAAAUGUAUAAGGAAAAAAAAAUUAAAAAUGGAAAUAAAAUGUUUAAAAAAAAGUAAUGAUUUACUAAUGUUAAAAAAUGAAAAAAUGGUAUUUAAAAAAUGGAAAUAAAAGUUUUUUAAAAAAGUAAUGAUUUGCUAAUGUUAAAAAAAAGAAAAAAUGGUAUUUUUUUGUUGUGUUGAAAAAUUUAAAAAUAUAGAUUGUGAUUCAUUAUUUUGAAAUAAUUUAAAGAUAAAUCCACACUUGCGAAAAUAUUGCAAAAGAAUUUGUUAAAAAUAGUAAUGACCUUUAUUGAUGUUUAUAUCAUUACAGGAUACAAUGAUACAUGCUGCCUCGUUAAAAACUUUGUCAUGUAAAAACUCAUAGGGGAAAAUGAGAAAACCAUGACAAAGAAAAGAGUACAGCUCAAAGGUCAGAACUACUUCUAACAAAAUUCUACUGGGGUUGGUCUGGAUCCAGGUAGAGUUGCUCGAACUGGGCGGCCAAUUCUUGGUUGUCCGCAGUGUAUUGGGCAUGUUGUCGAGCAAGCUCCCAGUCUUUAACGCUUAGUAGCAUUUCGACGUGGUCGCUGCGCAGAGUCGUCCUCCGGUCUUCGAUGAUUCGGCCGCAUAGACUGAAGGCCGAUUCGGAGGACACCGUCGACACGGGCACCGUCAACACAUCCCGUGCUAGUUUUGAAAGCACAGGAUAUGUUAUCUUGUGGUCAUUCCACCACCCGAGGACGUUGAAAUCUUGUGCUUCGUGGUGGAUGGCGUCGCUGUCCAAAUAACCGGACAACUCUUCGGCCACAACAUGCGAAGAGGCGUCUCCACUUGUAGCCGACGAACUGCCACCACCUUGGAUUGAACUUGAAGACGAUCCACCCCAAAUCCUACCCCACUGUAUCUUCUUCUUACCUGUAGUGGGGAUAGGAGGGGGUCUCUGCUGGCGAACUUCCUGAAACUUUACUUCAUAUCUUCCAAAAACCUCAUAUAAUUUACGUCUAACCUCAGUAUAAAAAGAACUAUAAUCUACACCUAUAGUAUCUCCAACAAGUGAUAAAAUAGCAGACAAUCCCCUUAAUUUACACCUAGGAUCUAAAACAAAAGCAAGAGCAUACAACAUAGGUAUAUUUUUCCAAUAUUUCAAAUAUUUUUGUUUCAUGUGAAAGACAGGUUCAGUUAGAACGUCAUCAUUUUCGUAUUCUUUAAAUAAAGUAGCAAUUUCAAGAAGGUUGUGCAAAAUUAUAUUAGCAGUUGGAUAAUAAACUUGUGACAAAGUUAGAGUACAAUCAUAAAAAGUUUCUAGAAAUUGGUAAAAUUUUUGGACAAUUGCCCAAACAUGCUCGUUCAGUACUGAAGACCCGUCACUGUUUCUUGGGCCACCACGUGACUGAACAAAAUCAGAAAGUAAACUACUAUAAGGUAAAACAACUUUUAACAUUAAAUACGUUGCAUUCCACCGAUGCUCUGCAUCGGUGGCAAACUUACGAGCUUUCACACCGGCCGCAUUGCAAAACCUCUUCCAUGCAGCAAUCCGCGGGUUAGAAGCAGUUAACCACGCGAUUGCUUGACGAACAGCAUCGAUGUGGUCACCUACCCUCUUCAUGCCAGUCUUAACAAUCAAAUUAAUUAUAUGACAUGCACAACGCUGAUGGAGUAGAAAAGAUUGAGCAUACACACAAAAUAAAGGUUGCAAUAUUUCAAUAGCCCUAGAAUUAGCAGAUGCAUUAUCUAGGGUGACAGCAAAUAUUUUAUCAGCAAGAUUAAAUUCAUUAAUUACUUCCCUAAUUCUUUCAGCUAUGUUUUCUCCUGUAUGUGAGACAUCUAUUAACCUAAGCCCUAAAACUCUCUUUUGUAAUUGCCAAUCAUCAUCAACAAAAUGAACAACUACGCUAAGAUAAUCCUCUCUAGCUCUACUACUCCAUAUAUCUGAAGUAACACUAACAGAGAAAGUACAUGUACUAAACAGUUCCUUAAGUGCAGUUGCUUCCUUGUGAUAAACAUUCUCUAAAUCUCUAGUUGAUGUUUGCCUACUCACAGCUUUAAACCUAGGGUUAUGAGAUUGCUGAAUGUAAUGUUCAAAAGCAAGGGACUCCCCAAAGUUCAGGGGUAAAUCUUGCCUGGCGAUUAACCGGACAAGAGAUUCCCGAGCAACCAUGGGAUCGUACUCCCAACUGUGUACCGUACCGUCUGGGUUUACCAUAAGUUGCUGCUGCCGGAGUUGUAUUCCUUGCUUCUUGGCACACGACUCCGCAUGGCGCUUGAGGUGACCUGUACCACCAGAAGAACGAGCAGAUAAAAUUUGCCUACAUAUUCUACAACGGGCUUUCGAUACCUCCCUUCCGUCGGGGCAUGUUUCCUUUAUCUCGUCGAAGCUUUGCCACACACCGGAGGUUCUCGAUCUCUUCGAGCCGGUGUGUGUCGAAACACUUCCGCUCGCGGUUCCGGAAAAUCCUUCCGAAGCUGUCUCCGCCUGAACCGGUACCUCCUCAACGACAGCCGUAUGAACCGGUACCUCCUCCACAGAUGGUGGAGUUGGAGCCGAUCCGGAGGUACCGUCAAACCCCGACAUGUAGUUGGGGUCGAAAUCACCCAAGGUGAACGACGGCGACUGGUAUGGAAAGUUCGGAUCCAUUCUGAAAAUUUAAACCGACAUAAACAAAUUUUCGAAUAUUUAUUGAAUUCACAAACACAAUACAAAUAAUACACAAAUUUAAAUAUUACUUACAUCUUUCCAACUGCGAGCUCUUCAAACCUCUGCGAUCAAACUGUUGAACUACGAAACUAAUUUUGAUUUUUGACAAAAUUUGAGCAAAUUUUGUCAAAAUCAAAAAAAAUGCACACUUGAGAACAAAGAGAGCACUUAAAACACUUGAGAGCACAAGAUGAGGAGUGUGGGAUGAGGAGAAAUGGCUGGGGUUCAUGCCCUAUUUAUAGGGCGAAAUUUGAGAUUUUUUGGAAUUUUUUCGAAAUUUUUAUGAAUUUUUUAGCCUCCCAACGGUUAUUUUCAAAUUUGAACGGUCAAAUAGCCGUUAGUGCCACGUGGCGCCUUCCCAUUCGACCGCCGCCCGCCCUGUCCGCGCCUGACGGGCCGCCGGCGUGCCGUGCCGUUGCGUGCCGCGGGCCGUGCCGUGCCGGCCCGCUACAGUAGCCGUGCCGUGCCGUGCCGGCCCGCGGGCUCGGCCAGCGGCCCAAGCACGGCACGGCUACUCGUGCCGUGCCGGCACGGCCCGUUACUGUAGCAGGCCGUGCCGGGCCGUGCCUGCUACAGGUUCGGCCGUGCCCCGGGCCGCCCGUUUGGCCCGGCCCAUUUGGCCACCUCUAGCGAGACCCGUCGACAUGCACUGCUUUUUUGCAAAAAACACCCCCCACGGUGCUAGCUUCGACCCAUCCGUCGUCUCGUUCGUCGACGAUGCCAGCGCGUGCUCCCAGGCGACGCGACGGCGAUGAAGCCCGUUGUACGACGCGAUGCGGGGAGGCGACGGAAGUGCGGGAUCAGCUGCGUGGGAUCAGCUCUCUCGCGCGCGGAAUAUUUAAAUGUACUAUGCAUUGUCUUAUGUAUGCAACAAAAUAACUACAAAGAUCAAUUAUACACUAGAUCAUCAUGAUUUGUGUGUCAAAGGAUGAAUUAAACACUCUACGGACAGCCAAACCAACAACCCAUUAUAUAAGCCGUCUGUUUAAGCUGUCUAUCUGUGUAAAAAGACAGCAAGCUGUCUACACGGUUGUACUUGCCCUAAGGCUGUGUUUUUCUUUUCCAAGUUCUCAACUCAUUUACUCGUUUUUCGUACGUACUUUUUCCAAACUGCUAAACGCUGUGUUUUUUUUUAAAAAAAGAAUUUUUGCGGAAAGUGCUUUAAAAAAUCAUAUUAAUUUAUCCUUUUAAAAAAUAACUCUUAAUUAGUUAAGUGCUAAUAAGUCGUUCUAUUUUAUGUGUGAGAGAUUAUUUUCCAACCGCAUGGAUUGAGAACAUAGCCUAAAGGAAUGUAGCAGACUAGCAGCAGUGGAAGUAAGAUCAGGUACAAUAACAGGCUAUAAGCCAACUAUAAACAUAAUUUAAAGAUAUAAAGGAAGAGAAAUAAGAUCAGCGGGCUACAGAUCUGUAGCCAGCUGCAGCACGGACUCCAAAGCGUACUAUGUGUAUGACAGGUAGGACCAGGUAUUAAUAGGAUAGUAAGCAACUAUUAUAUGAAUUGGCUAUUAUAUUGGUUAUAGAUGAUUUGGAGUUAGUAGUUGGCUACGCUAUUAAACUUGCUCUAAGGCCAUCUGAAGAUUAAGGAAUGUAGCAGCAGCGGAAGUAAAGGCCGUGGAUGUUAGGAAUGUAGCAGGCUAGCAGCACAGCGUUCCGCAGGAAAAUCCACGGCGCUAAUUGGUGACGCGCCGAGGGAAUGGAAAUCACGGCGGACGGCGAUCGAAUCGAAUCGAAUCGACGCGACGCGGGCGUUUUUGUCGGGUCGCCAUCGACGGGAGGACAGGACACAGCCGCGGGCCCGCGCCGGCGAAGACGCUGCUGCAUCUGCAUCUGGACAGGCCGCAACCGGCCGCCCCCUCGCCCGCCGACGGCCAUCGGAAAAAGGAAAAUGCUGAAGCGAAUCAAGUAGGGCCGCCGCGCGGCGCGUCUAGUGCAGGAAAUCGGGACGACGACGUGCGUGCGAUGCGACCGCGAUACCUCGCUUGGUUGUUGUUUUCGGCCAUUCAAAAACCUUUUACAGAAGAUGGGAGAAGAUGCCAAGCAGCGACGCAUGCCAAACUAAACGUGGCCAUGAAUUGUACUAAUACUAUUUCUCAUGUAUUUGCUUGCAACAUCGUCCAACUAAACGUGCCCAUUGGUUAUAAUGCUUCUUCUAUUCGCUCGCAACAUCAUUGGAAUAAUAAUUCAUUCCAAUCAUGUCCAUGCGGAAAACCAGCAAACGUGUCCUUGCCAACUAAAUGUUCACGCUCUCCGCCGCAGCAGCAACAACAACAAAAACGUUCAACCAGAAGCAGGCUCAGCUUUGCUUCUCAGAUGAGAACAUCACCAUCUUGUGCCAAUGGUUCAGUGACCGCUUCCUACCAAUGCACAUCAUCACAUGAAUUCGAACAUAUCAGAAUUAAGAUACAAAAGUCUCCGGUAUCAACAUCCAUAACACUAUUUGAUGAUAACAUUGAAAUUGAAUCGCAAGCUCCUUCGUAACACUAAAUGAUGAGUUGCUCCUACAUAUCUUUCAUGAUCCGUGCUCACUAAAUUGUAAGUACAACUUUGCCAAUAAUUACGAAAACUCUUUCAAGGGAGCAUAUGAGUAAAGUUACCGAUGAUAAAAUAACUUUUUUUUGUCCCAGUAGUCAAUAGUACAAAAUCCUUUAUUCACCAGGAACAUCUCCACAUAGGCCAUCUAGCCCUCAAUACCGAAAUGAAAAUUUCCUGUCUGAUCCGACAUCUUUCAGAUUUUGCCUGAGAUUCAGAGGAACAAGCUUGCAGAAAUUUUAAUAAAAGAUUCUACUGUUUUAGAGACUACAACAGCUUGACUCCAGCUUCUCUAACAGAGUCAAUGACAGCCCUGACCUUCCCAUGGUACUUCUGCUCUCUCUUCAUGUGGAUGCACACAGCGGGUAUGCCCUUCUGCAGCAGCCGCUCGCCGAGCAGCUUACCGAUCUUGGCAGCGGCAGCGACAUCGCGAGUGGACUCCAUGUUCGGCCUCAGCAGCUUCUCCUGCGAGCUCGCGGAACAGGCGACCGUCGCCGUUGGGGUGUGAACCACCUGAGCGGAUACAUACUUGUUCGAGAAAUGCAUCCUCAGAAGGUAGGGCUUCAGAAAGCGCGUGAUCCUAGCCGCCCUUUCCGGUGGAGGGAUCACCAUAGUUGCUAGGAUCUCUCUCUGCAGCAAAAUAACAAGCGAGACAGGGGACAAUUUCAGUUGGCGAAAAAUGCAUACAGGUAUUCACAUUAAGACAACACAAGUGAAUAAUGGUUUACCACUGAUUUGUAAACAAUUUGAAUUGUAAGCUGAAAUUCAAAACCAGGAGACAAACAAACAGUACAUAUGAAAAGGAACAGUGUUUAGUCCGGCCAUGCUGAUCGACGAUAAACAGUUAAGUAUUCCAAAAAGGUUCUACUUCAAUCAGCACUGCAAUUGCAUAUUUGAAUGGCCAUAUAGCAUCAGCAGCAGCAGCAGCAACUUAUGCUUACUAAAGCUCACAAAAAAAUGCAUCAAUUCCACCAUGGCGUUAUUAUCCAAGAUUAUUACAACAAAUUCAGGCCUGAACCAGCGCAUCAAAAACAGAUUCGGGCAUGUCCACCAGACGCAGGUGAAAGCUCACCUCGAGACUCAGAGGCUAACUUAACGUGCGGGCAUGGCCAUGGCGGAUCAGCCAAACUAAUCCCCCACCCGAAAAGAACCUCCUUGGAAACAAACAGCUAAUAGUAGUAGUUGGGUUAGGCAAAGAUUUAGCUUUUCCAGAUAUAGAAGAGAAGCUAGGGAUGGCAACACGUUCCCGCCCCUGCGAAAUGCAACGGGGCAUAGUUUUCUCCCAUCGCCCCCCAUGGAUUCUCCAUCCCCGCUGUCAGGAACAACAAACUCAAUAGGUACAUUUCACAUCUCAAAUAAUAACAAUAUUCAGUCAAGAGAUAUUAUUGCCAUCCAAAAGAAAAAAAAAACAAAAACUGCUAGUAUUUUCAGCCGGAGCAUGACCAUCAGUCCAAAAUCAACAAUACUAAUAAUCAACAUGAAGUAAGUUCACAUCUCACAUCUAGAUGAGUAAGUUCACAUCUCACAUGCAAGCAAGCAGCGGGAUCAAAUCUAGACAGGCGUACACACACGGUAGGAGCGACCAGCCGACGACGGAGAGGGGGGCGAGCAUGCGAGGAGAAAGGGAGCGAGGCGAGGCGAUGCCUGACGACUGCCGCCCGCGCCGCCCUGCUCGCCGCGUCGGCCCCUCCCUCGGCCGCUCGGCGGGUUAACGCGAGGAGAAAAAGGGGUAUGGGAGGAGAGGCAUGAGGAGGAGUAUGUGCGUACGUGCGUGUGCCCACCGGCGGCUGGGUGUGGGGAGCAGGACGACGCCGGCGCCGCUUGCCCGCCGGGGUGGGUGGGGAUCGGCGCUGCUCGGCGGCGGCGGCGGCGGCGCGAGGAGACGGGAGGGGAGUCGGAGGCCGAAGGGAUACACGGGGGAGAUCGAGAUCGACUAAUGCUGGGCUGUUUGAGGUCCAGCGAUAUGGGCUUUUUCUAUGGCCGGCCUGGGCCUGGCUGAAAAACAAUGGUGAAGAAAGCCCUUCAUCUUUUGAUCUAUCUAUAUGAGGGAAUAAGUUUACAUAAAGUCCUCACUUACCUCUCCCGAUUGAAUAAACUGAGCCCCAUCGUUUGGCCUAAACAGUCAAAGAAUAAGGAGUAAAUUCCUUGUGUGCCCCUGAAAAGUUACCCAAUCCCUUACAUGCCCCUGAAACUUACUCGAUUCCUUCUAUACCCCUGAAUUUUCGAUUGGAUCCCCUACAUACCCCUACCGUUUGGGUUCCGUCAGAUGUUUGUGUUCAUGUGUGUGUUAGCUUGUCAGUAUUUUCAUAAAAUGCGAAAAUGCCCCUGUCAACCCUAGGUAACACAGGGCCACAUCCGAUCCCCAAAUCCUCCAAAAUAGUUCCCACACGCACGGUGCCGCACAUCGCCAGCUUUCAGCCAUCGUUGCACGCGCAUCGCCGCCCUUCUCCCACAUCCCGGCGGCGGCAGCGGCUCUGCAUCCCGCCGCGGUCUCGGCUCUGCUUGCGGUCGGCGGCGGCGGCUGGGUCCGCAUCCCAUCGGUGGCGUGGCGGGGUCCGUAUCUGGUGGGCGGCGGCGGCUUUGCAUCCUGCCGCGGCGACGAGUCCGCAUCCCGCCGCGGCCUCGACUCUGCUUGCGGUCAUGGCGACGCCGUCUCCUCCCUGCCUCCUCCGCGCCCUCCCUCUUGUCACCUCACCCUCUUCUCGGGGGCUCCGACGCCGGCCUAUUACCUCCUUGCUCCGCUGCUCCUCGCCGUCGGUAAGAUACACCCUUGCGUUGAUUAGCAAAAUGCGAAUAGCUGCUGCUGCUAGUGUUUCUUCAUUAAUUUGUUUGACUUUAUGCAGGCAGAUGCCUUGAACUGUUAUGGGCUUGUGCCAUUAUGCUCAUGAUGUAAAAAGUAAUAUAUUUGUGUACUGCUGAUGGUGUAUGAAUGCUUUUAGAUGUAUUUUCAUUUUCUUCCUAUUAAAUGGUGCUACCGAUGCUCUUGAUAUGCUGAUGAAUUGCAAUGGUGUUUGAGUAAACGGGUAGGGGUACUGUCUUUUACCCCCAGGCUGUAUCGGUUAGUGGUCAUGAAAGAUCCAAUGUCAUGUUAUAUUUUUUUAUAAAAUACUGAAUGCUAUAACAAAAGAAAAUGAAAUUAAUUUUAUGCACUAUUUUUUUAGUCUCACGGAAUACAUACUGUGCAGUCAUGAAUGUUUCAAACCCAGCUGCCAAACAUGUUCUUAGUUUUCAGCUCCUCCAACCUCAAGGGUAUUAUAGACAUUUUCAACCAAACUAACCAGGGAAUGCUGCUAAAUCUAACGGUAGGGGUAUGUAGGGGAUCCAAUCAAAAAUUCAAGGGUAUAGAAGGAAUCGAGUAAGUUUCAGGGGCAUGUAAGAGAUUGAAUAACUUUUCAGGGGCACUCAAGGAAUUUACUCAAGAAUAAGCCAAAAUUUGAAUUUUUGAACUUGAUUUUGAAGUGAUUUUGAAAUGCUUUUAACGUAAUUUUUGUUAAUGUUGGCUUUUAAGUCGCUACGAACAAAUCUAUAAAAGUUUUACUUAUAAAUUAAUUUUAAUUUUCUAAUAAGCCAAAUAAGCCAUUUUGGCCAAAUGGGCAACCGAUGGGAGCCUGAGUAUAACAUAUUUUCCCUUUUUUUGAAAAGAGGAGCAAAUUGACUGGUUUCGAAAGCUGUUUAUGAUGACGUGCCAAGUUUAACAUGGUUGAUUUGUUGAGUCAACAGGUUGGACCCACGUAUGAGUCACCUCUCUUCCCGUCUUUCCAUCCCUCCCGGUGAUAUCCAGGAUGGCCACCGGGGGAAGAGGAGCAGGCAUGGAAGCAUCAGCCACAGUUUCAAUGGCCACCACCAUAGCCUGAUGCUACAACUCGCCCGACUAUUCGCCAUCACUGCGCGUCCUCUGCACCACAUAAAACUAGGGGUGCUAGUGGGCAAGGUUACCCACUUAUUUGUACUAUAGGUGGUUUCGUGUACCUGCCCGUUUUUACCCCUACAUACAAUAUAAACACGCUGGACCCGGCGGCGCACCCCGGAGUUGGUGUUCGUCGCCUUGCCGUCCUACACCAUCGAAGUGUCCGGGUGCGCCCCCGACGCGCUCGCGGAGUCGGAGCCAGCAGCGUUGGUCGGCGGCAUGCAUGGUCAUCCUCAGUGCGCACAAGGCUGAGCUUUGCCUCGGCCUGGGGUUGGAAAUUUCGGACCGAAAUUUCCGAAAUUUCGGAAAUUCCGGUCAUUUCGGUCACCUCCGAUACGAUAUUAUUUUGGCCGAAAAUUUUCAUUUUUUUCAUGAAUUUGGAUAAUAUUUGUUCAAAUUCAACUAAAGUUUACUCAAAAUUUCGGAUAUUUCAGACCGAAAUUUUAGAAUUUCGGUGACCCCCUAUACAAACGCCUCUACCGAUAGAGUAAACCCUGGCUGCACGUACGAUAUGGCUCAGCGAUACAGAUGCCACCACUGUCCACUGUGAGUAUCAGGCGUACAUGUUCAACCCAGCCAAUUAAGUACGCUCCACUUCAUCAACGAGUAAAAUGGCCAACAAAAGUGUACUGGCUCUCUCAGUAGAAACCUAAACAAACUCCUCUGGCACAGUGGUCAACACGUUCGAUGCUCGCUAGCAGCAGCAACAGCCGCCGUCUGGCCCUUUCUCCGUCGCCCAUCGGUAAGAGCGAUGGAUGGAAAAAAAAAAGAAAAGAAAGGAAAAUAGAGAGGAAGGGGAGGGAAGUGGAUCCUACAGAUUUUUUUUUUUCGUUGAGAGGCUUACACGCGAGUCUUUGAUGUGUGGGUCCAGCUUGCUGAUUUAACGAAUCAAUUGUGAUUAACUUACCACGUCAGUAGAAACCGCUUUAAAAAUAACUGAAGGAGUUUAAUUUGCACUGGUUUUUAAAAAUGGGCGAGAAGUUAUACCCAGUUUUAUGGUUGAGAGAGGCGAUUCGAUCGGGAGCAGUAGCUAAGGGAAGCAAAAUUGACUUAUUUCAUCUAUGUGAAGCCAUAGAAAAAAUGAACAAAGUAACUAAAAAUAAUUUAAUUUAGAGCACAUUUCAUAGCAUACACAAAGUAACUAAAAAUAAUUUAAUUUCAUAGCAUACACAUUUCAUAGCAUAUAACCAACCCCAGAUAUUAUGUUUUUAAAGUUUUACAAAAUCUCACCCUUGAGUAUGAAUUUACUUAAAAUUUUAAAACAUAAAGCGUAUAUAGUUUCACUCUGCACUACUUUUAAAAAGUAUUGUUUCAAAUAUGCUGAAAUUAAUUGAGAUUUGAAUAAAGAUAGUUUUAUGUAUAAUAAAGUUAUAUAAUGAAGUCUGAUCGUAAUCAUUAGACUAAGUUGUGGGGCCCUGUCCGCACCUUCAGUAUCAUCAGACUGUCCUUCAAUUUUGUUUUAAUCCCUGGCUGACAUAUUAUCAGACGAAACUUUUCUCAUUAGAAUAUGACCAUGAGGUCAAUAAACCAAAUCCAUGAGGUCAAAGAAACAUAUCCACAUCAGUGCCACGUUUGAUGAUACAGUUGAGGAUGAAAAAAAGUUAAGUUACUGAUGUUACGGAAUGAUAAGGGAUUGCACAUUAACAUAACAAGCUUUCAGUUCAGGAAAUUUGGCAUCAAUUUAAGUUCGGAACCAACAUUUAAAACAGCAUCCCUUCAGUUAAAGUUCCCUAGUGAAUUCUAAUUCAGAUAGCACUCAAGUAAGCCUUACACUUCUGUAAAAGCUGAACUGACCAAAAAAUUACAGUUCGCAAAAUGGCUUGACCAAAGCUAUUCACAUGUGGAAAUAACCUAUAAUGGUCUAACUAGUUGCUGUAUAAAACUUUGCGCAGUUCUGAUGCGUAAUCACCAAACUGAAUGCCAGUAGGAGGAUGCAUGCUAAAGAUGUAAGCAACUGGUGCUGAUACUUGCAUCCCUCUCGGGUAAUUAGGGGUAUCCGAGAACCAUCCAAGAGUUGCUUCAUCAAACAUAAAUGAUUCACCCAGAAAUAAGAAGCACUCUCUUGCCAAUCUUUCGACCUAGAGAAACAAGCAGAAAAAGGAUUACAUCUGGAAAUUUACAGUUAAUUCACACUUGAAACCUACAGCAGCAAUUUGGACGCUUUCAUUCUCAAAUAUUAAACAGGGAUAUAUAUACCAGCCAAAAGAAGCAGUCUAACUUGAAACAUGUAUUACACAUUAAAUAGGAAGUUGUUUUUAGCUGAAUAGUGUGAGUGAAGGGAAUUUGAAUUUGUAAUAGAACUUGAGAAUUUACCUGUAACUGAACAAAUUUUGCGUUAUUCAUGAUCACGAUGACCUGCAAAUCUGACAUCUUUUCUGACAAGGUCUUGAUGGCAAUAUGCUGGAAAAACUUCUGCAAGACAACUUGCUCGCUAAUUGAUUCGUUGGAAUCAAUAUCAGCAAACCAAAAUACUCGACUCAAUUUUGUCCAUGGAACUGAUAGUUUAUGUUCACCUCCAAUGAAUAGAUAAGAGGGAUCAGCCAAAUUCUGUAGAAUCUUGAGGCCCUUAGUCACUGAAUCAGACUCGAAUGAAUGAGGACCAGGUGUACAGGCAAUAAUCUUAGUGGGGUCAUAAUAGUUACAAAGUUUACAAGCGAACUGUAAACUUUUAUCAUUCAUGACAAGAAUAUGCCCAUCACCAGCAGCAGGCAGCAACCUUUUACAACAUACUGAAGUAGCUCUGUUUUCCUGAGAGCAGAUUCCAGAUGUGAUAGAUGAAGAAACCAAAGAGCCAGAGUCAUGUGAAAAUGAACACGAGUUACCAUUUCGACAACCCUGAUCAAAAUAAACAACAUGUCAGAAAUAGAAAAGAGGAUAAAAAAUACCACACAAGCGCUUUAGGGUUCGAAAGUUAUAGCAACUCUUUUUGUUUCUAAAAGUCGACAUUUGUACCUGUAAUGUGAGGAAGAACUUGCAUAUUGGUCUUGGAGCACGAGAAGAAUGAGAAAAAUGGCAUGUAUCACCUCGAUUACAAGAUCCAUUAAGAAAGAACACACACAUCUCAUUUUCCAACGCUGGUUGAACAUAACCAUGAACUAGUUCUCUAUAAGUUACCCUGUCUGCCGCAGAUUGUGUCUUCAUCUGUGAAGAAAACAGGAACCAUUAUUGAUGGUUGCAUAUAUAAUGUAUUUCAUAUAUAUAAGAAUAAUCAUAUGCAUAAAACUUAUACCGCACCUCCUUGAUAAGUGUCUUCAGUGUUUUAACAACAGUAGUGGUUCCAAAAUCAGCUGGAGAAACAUAAGGGGUUGCAGCACACCUGCGAUGUGAAUCCAAGUGAGAAUUCUCAGCUUCUAAUGGAAGUGAAUUCACAUUCUCUAGUUCCAGCACUUCAUGGCGAAGACACAUGUGGUGGAAUUCGGAAGGCUGAAGGUACAUUGGAGGAUUUAUUUUCACAAGAAAACUAGGUCUAAAUCGGUGAAGUGUGCCCAUAAUAUCAUCAUCUGUUCAAAAGGAAGGGUUAGCAACACAUAUAUCAUAUUGGAAACACAAUAGGACACAUGCCUCAUACUAGGUAUGUUUCUUUACACAAAGCACAUUUAUACAUAACUGCAAGGUGCACCCUUUCUACUAUGUCUUGUACAUUUUCAAAAUCAUAUUGGAAAACCUUACAUGGAAAGUAAGAAAGGUAAUCAGCAUAUAUUUAAAAAAUGUGAACAUAUGUGCAACCAAAAUAUACAGCAGAUGAAGAGUGAGAUUACCUACUGCUACAAGAGUGCAAUUCACUUCAUAAAAUUUUUAUAAUGAGGUACAGGUAAAGGACGUACAAAUUUCAGAGAUGUAGUUAAGUGCUGUUGGCACAAGGUUAUGAAAUGCACACCACUCAUCUUCAGGUUUAGCAACAAAACCAUUAGAUGCCUUCGGUUCAUGAGUGUUCACCACAUUUAUCAGACAAUCCAGACGAUACUUGUCCUGCAACAUAUGAAGACAUCACUUUACUAAUGUAAUAAACAUUUCCAAAAGCAGAUAAACAAAAAUAAUUGCCCUGAGUCUUAUAUAAUAAUGUUUUCUGGAAAAGAGUCCCGCACCAAUUAAUAGAUAUUUACUGGAAAAGGAACUAAUAGAGAACUGUUUUAACUACUAAAAGAAGGAAUAUGAUGUUAAUACAUGGCAAUUGACAUGCGCCUGAAACAUAAAUGUUGAAUCAAUUAUUAACUGCAUAAGGCCUGUAAAUAUGCACAAGGAACAUGAUUAUUACAGAUAUGAUAUACCUUAAACAUACGCUGCCAGAAUUGAAAUGCACAAAGAUUUCCAACAAGUGCAGCUUCCUUCUUGCCAGUUUGCAGGUCGAUACCCUCCUCCUCAAAGUAAUUGUUUCUAUACAUUUUGCACUGUAAAACAAAACGUACAACAUAUAACUACUACAACAUGAUGAUGCAAGCAUUAGUCAUGAUGCAACAAAAACACAUACCAAUUGUUGGUGACCAAAAGGUUGGACGAUAGGCAGGGGUUGGAUGUCCAGCAUGAUGCUUAUCAGAAUUCCUUCACAGAUGGAGCCAGUAUCACCAAAUUUAAGGGCUAGAACAGAAGCGUCAAAUGAGAGUGGCAAACUAUUAAGCAAACAUCCAUAAAAGGUUGGCUCAUGGCGCCCUCUAGGAGAGGUUGGCUUAUCUAAAGCACGAAUUUGAACAAGAGAUUCCAAUGCAUCUUCAACAACAUCCGAAUCUGGCGGGUCAAGAACUUUUUGCAGCAGGACUGUCAGAAAUAAAUGCCUGAUAGUGAGAAUUUUAACUUAAUAUGAACAAAAAGGACCAAUUAUUAAUAAUUGCGAUAAAUAAUGCUCCCUCCAACCCAUAAGUUUCAUUUAAUAAAGAUGUAUAUUAUAAAAAUUCAAAUAGUCACUAAUUUACACUGAAGUAUUUUGAAUUAGUCACAUGGCCAUUGUGAUAGUAAAUUUAUCAAAAAUAUUAAAAGAUGCUUGCAUGGUAUUAUAUUUUUCUAUACUUUCAUAAAUAUAAUGCAAUUGAAUCGUAACAAAAUUGGCUUGAUUUUUAAGUGAAGUGAUCAAAUUUGUGUAUGGAAGGCCAUUGAAAGUUAAAAAGGAACAAUUAAGUACACCAAAUAUAAACAAUACAAUGUAAAGUUUUAAUAUGAUGAGAAAGUAAUAUGGAAUCCUGAAAAUUAAAUAAAAGGGAAAAUGUACAAAUACAGAAAGAAUAGUAAUUUCUAAUUACUAUAAAUUAACCUUGACAUGUUAUGCCAAAACACCAGAAACUACUUGCACUCAGUUUUUUAGAAUAAAAUAGUGCAACAGUGGCUAAGAUACUUAUGUACGGUUCACCAGAUUUGUGUUUGUAGAACAAAUAUACUAUCAUUUACAUGUGUCCAGAGUCCAGACUAAAUGCAAGAUAACCAAGUUUAGAUGCAAACCCUUAACUUCCUAGAACUGGCUGCAUAGACACUAGAACUAUUUUCACUGGAAAGUAUCGAAUGCAUGAUACAAACAAUUAUCAUUGAAAGAAAAAUAGUUAACCAACUGUACAGUGCUUAAUUAUACUACAGGACAUGAUUUUAUCAUAACUUAGUAUCCUGCAUUUACAAAAAGAUGCUGUUCUAAAAUGCAUGCAGGCAAACCUUCAUCUUAAAUCACUAAUAUAUGCAAAACAAAUAUAUAUUAAAUAUGUACAUGAUAUUAGUAGAUUUUUCAUGAAAAAUACUUCAUUUAGCUAUAGUAUCGAUAUUUUUUAUAAACACUCAAUUAGAAAAAAAAAGUAUUAAACUAAUGAUAAAAACAUGUGCUAAGACUAUCGAUAUCCUAGAUGACAAGUAAAAAAGAGUGGACAGAACCUUAGUAAAUAAAAGAAGGAAAAUCAAUUGUAGCUUCUCAAGAAUAUAAAUAAUGCUAAUGGUGCUCCAUCACAAAACAUUAAAAAACAUGGAGCAUAAAUUUAUGCAAAUGUAACAAAGGCUGAACUUGUCAGAAAAAAGACACGAAUGAAAUAUAUGCAUGAAAAGAAUUACCAUGAGGAUCGUUCAUAGCUCUGGACUCUGCACAACAAAUCAUGAGUACUUGCUCUCUUAAGGACAAUCUUAAAAUGGCAGGAUACUCAUGAUCAGUUAAACUGUUAUAAAAUGGCCCAGUUACCAAGCGAUAAAUUUGACCAUCACAGGUUCGCCCUGUCCUGCCUUUCCGCUGUUCAGCCUAGAAAUAAUUACAAAAAAAUUGUAACGUACAAUCUUUAGGGUCAAACUUUAGUUGCAAACGAAAAACAUCAGUAUAUUUGUGAGAUAUACCUGAGAUUUGGAAACCCAUACAAGCUCAGCUGAGUCUGUUUUCCUGAUUGGAUCCCAAUAAACUUGCAGUGAUCUACAGGAGUCAAUAACAUAAGCAACUCCUGGAAUAGUGACUGAUGAUUCUGCAAUGUUUGUUGCCAGUAUAACCUGCAACAAAGAUACAAACAAGAAGAUUAUAGUUCAAUCGCAUUUGAGUGAGUUCAAUCGAAACCAAUUAGACAGAGGAGAAUAUUCAAUCAUGUAAAUUUUGAACAUUACAGGCCAAAUCAAUGUUACAUUAUUUUUAAGUGCAAAUUAUAUGAUUAUCAGGGUCACUUGGUACUCCUGGUCUCUGGAUCUGUUGCUGUGGGAGGAUGCAGUGGACAGAGCCCCUGUAGCCGGGGACUGAAUCCUGUGUUCUAAAGCUAGUGCUAGUGGAAAACAAUGUUGGAAAGGAAAAUAAAUCAGAACUUGCUUUUUGCAGAUGAUGGCAAAGUGGCAAACCUCAUUAAUAUAUUCAGAACACAACUUUAAAGGUAAUUAAAAACAUGCAAUGGGUUUUAAAUAAAUUUGCAAUUUAUGCUGAAGAGUAUUGCAGGCUUGCAGCUAUGUACCUGCAAGUAGAAAACAAGGAUAGUGAUAACAGGACAGCAAUAAUUCUAUGCACUGUCUAUAUAAUGUCUAUCAUUGUGUCUGUUCAUAGGAGAAAAUCUUAACAGUUCAGAAACAUUUAACUAAAACACAAAGCUGAAUUUCAAUGCAGAAAAUUGUACCUUACGACAGGACUUUGAGACCUUCAUAGUUUGAAGAGCUUCAUCGGUGUCAAUGCUGCGAUGGAGAAUGUGUACUUUGAACAUUGAACUAGCAGAUAGCAGACGAAUCCAUUGCUGCUCCAAAGCAUAGUAUGUAGGAAGGAACACCAAAAUACUCUUCCCAAUGUCUGGCUCAUUUUGGUGUAUAUGCAACAAUAACCUAUGAAUAAGUUCAUACACAUCUGGUUUUAGACCAGCAUCAGCUGCAGUGUUGGGUCCAGAGCAGUAUUUUGUUGAUAGUGAUUCCGAGUCCAUCUUGAGAAUAUCAACAAUCUGUCCAGCAUUUCAUAGCAUUACGUACUAAACAUGUGAGCGAUAAGCUAUACAGUAGAUUACAUUAAAAUAGAAAACAACUAGCAGCGACAGGUAAAGGAACAUACUUCUAAUGAUGACGAUAAUAGUAAAACUCAUGUUGUUUCGGCCUUGCAAACCGUGCGAGAAGCUGUCAUUUCGAGUCUACAUCGCCUGAUCUCCACUUCCUUUGUCCGUUUUAGUAUCCAGUUAGUGAACGUAAGUUCCCGUGCAUUUUGUUUAAGAAAAGUAGAGUUGUUUAAAGGCCCUUAUUUAGCAAGCUUAGCAUAGCCCCUUUAUGUCUGUACCUUCAACUCGAAAACCAAAGGAGUGCCUUCGAGAGAGAGCUCUAACACCACUCGGCAUUUUUAGAGACAUGCUCUUUUUUGAAGAAAGUACUUUUUUGAAAGAAAGGAAUAAAAUAAAUAUACUCGAUUUCAGAAAUAUCAAUAAGUUGGCCUAAACUAGGAACAGACAGUAGUACUGUUAAAAGUUCAAAAUCAUAAUUUUAAGUUGCUGUAUUUAAGAAAUACAGCUUAAAAAGUAGAUUAUUAUGAUAGGUCAAUGAUAGAAUAGUAAAAUCCAUGCUACAAAACCGAGCCUGUAGAAAAUACAGGAAUAAACUGCUGUAUGUGUGGUAAAUUGUUAAUUACAUACCAUGGAGGAAAAAUAAGGUACAAUAUGCAACUUAAACUAGAAAUUAAUUUGUUUUCUUAUUGAAGUUUAAUGGUAAUUGAGAACAAUAAACAUGGAUAGCUGACUUUCUAAAGUCAGAUGUAACAUUUACCUGCUCAAGGUAUAGGACUUUUCUCUGAAAAAUGCUACUGCGUGGACUGCUAGGAAUGGCAAUCACCUCAACCCUUUCACCCCUUCCAAGAUCUCUGAAGUAAUCCUUAUAUCUUGUGAUAUCAGCAGUCGCAGACAUCAAAAUCAACCUAUGUCAAGAGAGGAAUGACACACGUCUUAUCAAUCAGCAGGAAGAAAGUAAGGCAGUCAGUUUUUAAGGUGGAUUGGAAUCAUCACUACUAAAAGAUGGUUUAAUGGAAAGCAUUAAAGCAGGUCACUGCAGCAAUUACCUCAAGUCAUUCUUUUUCAUCAUAAACUGCUUGACACAGGCGAGGACAAGGUCAGAUUCCACUGACCUUUCAUGUAUUUCAUCGAGAAUAAUAACCUUAUAGUUCAAUGCAGCAAUGCCCUUGUCACGCAUUUGCUCCAAUACAACACCAGCUGUUUUGAAAACAAUUCUUGACCUGAUUCGUGCGUCGAACAGGUUUGAAAGUUAGAAGUCAAUCGACAAGUGGGUAAGGACAUAUGAUACAAGUAUGCAACUGAGGUGGAUAAGAUACUAGAGAGAAUGUGUAGCACUGUUUUAUAUGAUAUAUCCAGAUUUCAAUCGCACUAGCAAUGUGGAUAUAAAUGGGCCUGCAUGUUAUGUCGUUCUAUGACAUGGACUGGCCAGCCAGGAUAAAGCAAAUUUGCUUGAAUGCCCUUCUCUAUAUACUAAAAUUCUCACAAAAAAAAAGUUAUAUACUACAAGAACUUAAUCUUUCAAUAUGCUCAAUAUCCUUUGCUACAAAAGGUAUCAUGCAUAAUAAUUUUAAUUGAGAUCAGCAGAAUUUGUAGAAGAAAUCCAACUGCCUAAUAUCAGCAAAUACGGUGCCAAUGAGGUCAAUGUCUUGUCACUGUAGUUCAAUUACAAUUAGUGAUAUCAUUUUCACUGUGCUUGUAUAGAUACAAAUUACAAUUAGUGGUAGUAUUUUCACUGCGGUUGUAUAGAUACAAAUUAAAUGUGUCUCAGCUCGUUCAUUGCUUGUGUCCUUAUUAAGGUUAUUAUGAAAGCUCACUAAUCAUGGAUCACAGAGGAAUCACCUUUUUGAAUUGAGAUUGGACACAUUCGAGUGUCCUAUGUGAUAUCCGACCUCUUCUCCUACCUGACAAUUGCGAGAUUCGGCAAUCAUUUGAGCAAUGGCUACUACUGCAAACCUCCUUGGCUGCGUGCAUAGAAUGGGUUCCAUGUUUUCUUCCAGGAGGAACUGUGGAACCAUAGAACUCUUUCCUGCAAUGAAACAACAUAUCGAUCCGUUAGUAGGUCCAAAUUAGGCAGAAAUUUACAUCCCAGAUAAUGAUUUAAAAAACAUGGCAAUGUUACCCAUCAUUGGUUCAACAAGCUGAACGUGCAACAGAAAAAAAACAGAGAAUAAAUGCAAUGUGACCUAAAUUUGUAGAAAAAAAUGCAAAAAAAAAGGGGCUAGUUGUGGCACUGAGUUCGUAACAAUGCAACACUCAGAUCAGAAACCUCUGGGAUGCAAAUCUAGUUAUAGUAAAGUUAGACUCCCUAAAGCAGGAUUUUUAGAAGAUAAAUCCACACUAUUGUCAGAAGAAGAAACAUAAACAAAGUGAAAGGAAACAUCUCUCGUAGAUCAUUCAUUAUCUUAUCAAAUUUGAAGAACAUCACUUUUACCAAAACCCUUGCAAUAAAGAUGCAAAAACACUAUCCAAGGUUGAAAACUCGCUAAAACCUCCAGCACUCAAGCCUGAAACCCACUAAAAAAACCCCUCCUUUUUCAGUAUCCCGCAUUUCCGCGGCACGGCAGAAAUUCCAAUCCAAAACUGAAACCACCCCCCCCCCCCAAUACCAUGCCAUCCUACCAUAGGCCGGAAAACCCAACGAGGUAGGAGAAAAACAUAGAUGAACGAACCAAGCACCAACUUUUCACAGAUGAAAAAAAAAUCCGUCAAAAAAUGCGCACCCAUAACCAAACGCGAAAACCUCCCCCCAAACCCCCACCGACCAUGGGAGCCAAUCGCACAUUCGGCGCGAGCGGAUGGAGUCGAAACUAGAACACACACACACAGGGGGAGGGAGAGAGCAAUCAGUGCGGUUACCGCAUCCGGUGUCCCCCACGAUGAGAGUGACGCGGUUCCCCUUCACCUUCUCCACGAUCUUCCCCCGGAGCGCCUCCACGGCGAGCGGCGCCCGCGCCUCCCCCACCCCCACCCGCUUCUCCUCCGCCUCCGCCAUGCUCCGGUCUCCGCCCCCACCGACGGCGGCAGAUGCGGAUGCGGAUGCCUUCUCCUGCAAGCUUUUGCCCUCCUCCUCCUCCUCCUCGCCUCGCGCCCUCUUCCGUUGCUUGCCUUUUUUGAAGGGGAGGUGAGGUGGCUGCUACUACUGGGGCGUAGACCCGGUGCAUGGACCCGGGCCCACUGGAGUGUGAAUGGGUGGUGGGGCCCAGUGGGAGGGUGCACCAACACCGGGUCCACGGAUCCACGCGCUCCCCACCGGGGGGUCCUCCUUUCUCGCGUUCGCAGCUGGCGACAAAACCGUCUUGCCAAUGGGGGGAGAGCCCAGCGCCAGCCGGUCAACCACGAGUGACUCGGUUGACGGUCUCGUGAGAGGCUGACAGGUGGGGCCAGAUGGUCAAGUCGAGUUGACUGGAGGGCCCACCUGUGUACAGUGUAUACGUAGUAGGUGCAUUGGUUGAUCCACGCUUCCACCUAUGCAGACGCAUAAUCCUCAUGUAAUCUGUUACUCCUAAAUAAAAGAAUAUACGGAGUAUUCAUCUCUUUCGUUAAUGGUGGUUAUUAGUAUCUCUUUUUUUUUCCUUCUCGACGCAAUUUUUUCGAAGCUGUUUGAUUCGUGAAGAAAAUGGAGAGAAAUUACCGGAACGUCUGCUUAGGCUGAGUUUUAGGGGAGAAUAUUGAGAGAAAAAGUGCCUCGUUGCUAAGCGUUGCAUUUUUUUAAAAAAAAAUCUAUACAAAAGUUACUUAAAAAUAUAUUAAUCUAUUUUUUAAAAAAUAAAAUAAUUCUUACAAUCUAUUUUUAAAAAAAUUAAAAUAAUUCUUACUUAUAAUUAGUUAUAUGUAAAUGCAUUCGGGCUGGCCGUUCCGUUUAUCAGGGCAGCAGUUGCGAGAGUGGUCUACAGCAAGCAAGGUGUGACCAUCACACGACAUAAUUUGUGCGGAUCGAAUUAAAAUGACGCGCUGCUGUGAAACCAAUUAUAUGAAAAACGUCUGCGCAAACACACCACCAUUUUAUGGUAAAAUGGUGCGACUGUCUGAGACUUAAUUCCUCCCUCCAAAAAAAAAACAAAUCUAAAACAUGUUAGACAUUCUAGUACAACUAAUCUGGAUAGAGGUAAUGUCUAGAUUAGUAGUCCUAGAUUGUGUAGGUUGGUUUUGUAUGGUACUGAAGGAGUAUCACUCAAUAGUGAGAACAUUGAAGCAGAGAGAAUAUUGAAGCAGAGAGAAUAUUGAAGCAGAGAGAAUGCUCGUGGUCGGCAUAUGCGCCUAGGUAAAAGAGCACUCCAAGCAGCACAAUAUAGAUAUACUAUUGCUGAACAAUCAAGAACAUUACCUGGCUCUCUGCGAUGAACAGGUCAAAGUAAUAACCACAAUAAUAUUCAAUAUAGUCGAGGGUCCAGACAUCAAACAAAUUGUUUCGAGACAGGCCAACCGCUGCCUCUUCACUGGUAACUACUGAACCCAUGAAACAUUUUUCGGUCAUACCACAAAAUGAUAAAGCAAAGCAAUGCUUACUCCACCAGUCCAUUCUUCACCCUCCUAAAGCAAUCUAUGUGACACAAAGCCUUAAAAAAGCGGCAUUCCCACAAGUGACCUUCCCUCUCACCCACGUCCGCGGCCCCCACCUGCCAUAGAGUACAAGCAGAUUGGUUAUCCCCUCAAAACAAAAUACAAACUACUUUGGCGGUAUAGUAGAGUCUAAAUUCAAGCAAGAAGCAUACCUUUGAUGCCACCUUUACCUCCAAUUCCUCCCCUUCCACGGCCACCACCGCCUUUGCUGCCACCAUCAUCCUGGCCACGCCCAAUGCCUCUGCCUCCAGGCUUAGUACCUAUAUCACCUCUUCCUCUUCCGCGGCCUACACCUGGUGGCCUCCUAUCUGCAUUUAGAAGAGCAUAGGCAAUUCAGCGUUGAACUUAACUUCAAAAGAUGUUCAAAAAGGUGAAAUUCUCUAGUAAUCAGAAAAUCAGAAUAACCAUAAUACACCAAAUAUAAGAAAAGAGGAACACGAGGGUUUCAUGAAUGACAUCAACAACACUAUAGAUGUAGGAUACUGCCUGUAUCAAUGUGCAUUUACAGAUUGAUUUGAUACUAUUUACACUGUAAAGCGUAAACAUGCAAUUCAUCGCUAAUUUUUGAAGUAUAAGUUACGUUAUGUUUGUUGAAAAUUAAGAACCAGCCCAAGAAAAGAACUGCAGUCGCAUUACUACUUGCACGCAUAAACGCAUUUGCACUGCCACAUACAUUCAACUGAUAGCACUGCCGCAUAUAAUGUACUUCUUACUAAUAAAAAUUAUGGGUUAUGACAAAAUACAUCUCUUGGAAACUGAAUAAGGUCAAUUUUUUCUCCAAUAAUGAACUGGAAUAAGGUUCAAGCAAAGGCAACUAAUAGCACAAAAUUAUGAUUUAAAUAUUUCAUCAAGUUCACAGAAAAUAUUAAAACAUCUAAAUAAUUACAGAGACAAAUGUGAUUUAUAACAGCUGGAACCAUUGGGUACAUACCUGAUCUGCUCUUUGAAGUCUCUUCCUGGACCUUGUCAAUCACCUGUCAUAGAAAUAAAUUCAUGCAUUUAGGAUUGGAAAGCACAGGUAACAAUGACAACGCUGGUGUAUCAUCAUCAUCAUCAUGAAGGUAAAACAGAAGUACAUAACAUAUGCUGGAAUGUCAUGAAAAGACAAAAAUAAUCAAUCGAAAUCAAUCAAUCACAACCUUUCCCCAUUUGAUUCCACCAACUUUCUUAAUACCCGUGCCCAACCCUAAAACUCAUACUUUGGGAUGGAGGUAGUAUCAAGAACAUCCAAUUAGCUAUUUGACCUCUAAAAAUAAAAAUAAAGAGUAAUACAACAAAAUGAACACAAGAGAUAUCUAACAAGAGAUGAACUGAUGGCCCUGUUCUAUUUCAGGAAUUAGUUGGUGAAUGAACCAUACGAUCCUAACUCUGAACUUAACUAUUUGGUUGGGAAUGUUAAUGGGUUGGUCCACUCCAUCUCAUCCCUCAAAAGUAUCAAGUUUUGUAGAAAAAUAAGGAAACCAACUAAAUUGUGGGAUGGUCCCACAAUUGACCAACUCAUCGUAGGAUUGUUUGAUUACUCAAACCAGCACAUGAGGAAAAUGCAAUCUAAAUCUCAGUGGUACAAUAGUCCUAUUUAUGUCUGUUUCUUAAUCUUAAUCUCAGUGGUAAAAUAUGCAGCUUAAGAUUAAGAAUAAGGAUAAAAGGCUGUCUAACUCCAGAAGAUCGGGUAAAAAGUAUUCUACCUCUACCAUAUCAAUUUUCGAUUGUACUUCCAGAAUAGGGAUUGAAAGGCUGGUUAAAUUCAGAAUUGAUAACAAGUGUGGGCAUAUCCUGGCUCAAUACAUUCCCAUUUGUGCUUUGCUUAUAGAUUUAUGGGUUAAAAGUACUAAUAACAUUUAUAUCCAUAUGAUGUAAAGUCAGCUACAUCUAUAUGAUGUGACCUAGGAGACAUAUAUACUUAGGCCUACUAUCCAGGUCACGGUUAUGUGAUAUUUACUUCUCCAUUAUCUGAAGUUCUGAACUAUUUUCAAUGUUCCUUGGCUGUGGGAAAGUAGCUUUGCGUACAGCAGAGUUGGAACAUAAGUUUUGUCACUAUUCAUAGCAGGAGAAUUGUUUGGUGUCAUAUAUCAGUGAUUUGAAAUCAAGAAAAUUUAUCAGCCCCUCGUGGAUAGUUAACAGAUAAAAUGCAGAGUGAUUUGCACGUAAUCAUAUUAAAAUGCUCUGCUUAGCUUAAGAGAGGUCCUCAUCUGCUCAAAUCACUUAAAAACACCAUAAGGCAGAUAUCUUAAAUGGCAUCAAAUAACUUACAUAUAUCUAACGUGAGAGAUUACUCAGACAAAACAAGAGACACACUGGCACCCAUAAAGAUCUAAAAGGGAAAACAAAACUUGAAACUGAAAGCUGACCACAAAAAAAUUGCACACGACAUAGUGAUUUUGCUAGCAAUUAUGGUGAUGAAUGCUAACAGGGAAAAAAAAAGGCUGAUUAUGCAGAUGGAGAACAUACAUGUCUAAACAUACAACCAGCAAACCACAAGCACAUAGUAAACAAGGUUUAACAUGUUAAAAAUCCAUACCUCAUCAGGAACCCGAAGAUACUUGAUGGUGUUCCCACGGAUGUAACAUUCUGGCAUCCUCCAAAACUUAUCACCAUCCUGCAAUGACAACCAUAAACAAUGAGGAAACAGCAUUCAUCACAAACUAAACGAUCAAACCAAUUGGAACCAAAUGACCCAAAAGAGAACACACAAUUCGAACUAUAAGUUCCUACUAUCUGUCUAUCUCCACGUCAAAUUCCAAAAAAAAUAUGAAGACUACUUUAACAAAUGGCUACUCCCUAUUUUCCCCAAAUCCAAACAAUGCCACUAAUCUUUUGUCCCCACUAAAAUCUACAAGCGAAGUGGGUCGGGGAUGCGAGAUUUCACCUUUGAGGUGCAAAUAACCUCCCGGAGGUGGAUGUUCAUCCACGUGUCGCAGUUCACCAAGUGCCCGUUGUACGUCUCGCCGUUCUUAAGCUCCACGAGCUAAAAAAAAACCACACAAAAGUUUCAAACCCUAGCCGAUCAGAAACCAAACCAAACAACCACCACGCACAGCGCGAAGCGGCGGAUCUUCUCUUACCAUGGGAUGCCCCUGGGCGGUCUUGAGGAGCGAGAGCGGAAGCUGCAACCACAACACAAACACAGAAUCAGACACGGCCGCAUUAAUUUGGGGAUCGAGAGGGUACAGAUUGAGAAAUAGAGAGAGAGACGAACCAUCUUGCGCUAGAUCCGGAAACAGCGAUGCCGGCGGGGGAGGAGGAGCAGAUCGUCGCCGGCGCGGGGAGGAAGGCGGCGGCGGCGGAGGCGGAGGCGGCGAGAGGAGGGGGGAUUCCGGGGGGUCAAAACCCUAGUCGCCGCCGCGGGCUUGUUGGGUGGGGAGGCGAGGCGAGGGGGGAAGAGCUCGCGAGCAACGAAGAAAAACAAGAGAGGGUCCCGGACCGAAAGAGUUAUGUACACGUGUCCCAAAUAAAAGUUCAAGUUGUUAUAAACCGCCUAUAUAUACGAGUAGAGACUAUAAAGAAAACUGCCGUAAUUUUAAAGGAUAAACUUUCAAAUCUUGUAAUUGUAAUAUAAUUUUACUCUAACUAUAAUAUAACUUAUAUAUAAGUAUUGAAAUAAUAUAUAUAAUUUUUUGUCUAACUUAUAUGGUGGUUAUAAUGUAGUUAGUGCAGUUACAUUUUACAAUGUACUUUAUACAGAGAUUACGAUAUAGUUUCUUAUAGUGUAACAAUAUUGUAGUUACACUAUAAUUAUACUAUAGAUAUUUUUUUUCCAAAAAAACUUGCGACAGUAUUUUAGUAAUUCUGAUACCCGGUAUACGACUCCUUUAUCCUUUUCAAAAUUAGGCAUAUAUGGUCUAUUUCCUAGAGGAGAAAAACUAAAGUCCCUCAAAAUAAUUUUUUAAGGAAAUUGUAAAAAAUACUAGUACUACAUUUCCAAAAUAUAAUUUUAUUUGUACAUAGAGAUUAUAAUUGUUAUCAAGUCAUACGACUAGUCACGAUUUUAGUGAUAGAUUAGUUGUAAAGUUGGUCAAGCUAAUCGACUAGAGAACCACGUCUCGUCCAAACAGCAAGUCGUGGUUCAUCGUAAAGUCGGUUGCGAAUUAUUAAUUCGCCAUGCUAAUUAGCUUGUUGUGUUUAAUACUUUAGUUUUAUUUCUUGUUGAUUUAUUGUCUUGCUACUAUAGAUCAUAAUUUAUACUUUAUACAAUGCUUAGUAUAGUAUAAUAUUAGUAAAGACUAUAUGUUGCAUCCCUGUUUUUGCAUGGGCAAGUCAUCAGCUAGUGAUGGACUAGUUGACCAAUCGGUCCAGGGUACCUCGACUUGAUUUUACGAGUUGGAAACCAUGGAGAUUAAGGUUAAAGAGAAAAGAUUUCGAUGUCCAAUAUCAAGGCCUAGUUUGAAUCUUCAACUUAGUUUAGCUUUUUGGUGGCACUCAAAACAGGUAAGCCAAUAUCAUAUAAUUAAUUGAGUAUUAAUUACCGUAAAAUUUAAACUUAAACUUAUUUGAUUUUUUUAAAUAACUUCUAUAUAAUAAGUUUUUGUAAAAGAAAACAUUUAACAGUUUGAAAAACAUGUUAAAAAAGAUAAAGUUGCAUUUUAGAGUUGAAUAAACGAAUGCGGCUUAAAUAAGAUAUGGUUAGGGGCAAGAAAGUGGUUAAGGAAGAGAUGGAAAGAAAUUUUAAUGGGAAACAAUUAAAAUAAGUAGUACUUUAUACUUUAUAGUGCUAGGAGUGUUUAUAUUUUAGUGCAAACUACAAAUGUUGGUGGUUCUUAUAUUUUGAAACAAAGAGAUAGUUCAAAAUAUAUCAUUUCGGUUUAUCAAAAUUAUAAAAGUUGGUUCUCUUGAUCAUAAAUAUUUGACGUUUGUUAUAAGAUUUUGUUGAUCAUCACAUAAAGACAGGAGUCAAAAAUUUGUGUCUCGUCUCCUCCCCCUUCAACAUCAGCAAAUAAAUGUCUAGGUGAUAUCACACUACUUUAUACUACAUGUCAUGGGUUGUUGACACUGCAUUCUGACCACCAAAGCCCAUUCAAAAAUUCCCUUUGAUUCAGAAUGCAGUAUCAGGUGUGAGCCAACUCAAAAGGUAGCACAAUCUUGAUGGCGCAUACGUGUGAACCAACUCAAACAGAGGCACAGCACAAUCUUAGCAUUGCACUCGUUGGGACAAUCAAGUAAUUGAACUAGCCAAAAUUCAUAUAGCUAGCCAUUGAUUGUGCAAAUAAUGAAAUAUGGUGCAUGGCGGUUGUAACUUUUACUGUGUAAUCCACUCACUAAACUAUGAGAAGUGAGAACACAUGAAAAGAAAGUAAUGACACCAAGUUAAGUAGUAAACUGCAAACCGUGUAACAUUUGAUAUGACUUAAUUACAAAAUCAAAACAACAGUACUCCAGUUAGGACUCUAAAAGAAAACAUAUUCAUAUUUUUCAAGGGACCAUUUUGUACAGUGUGUGGUCCUAGCUUCAAAGACUUUCCCUAUCCUCUCUUAAAAAGGGGAACUAAUCAUGUCCCCUUUCCUUGGUGCAUAAAGUUCCUAGGUACAUUGACUACACACAAAGAUGAAAAAUGACAGCCCAACCACAGUUUGGUGGCAUUACCAAAUGACUAUUUUACUAAUUGCACAUAACAUGUGUUGUUAUAGGUAGCUAAAGACCACUUCCAUUAACCCACCUUGAAUUGAUCCUCUCAAACAUGGGUCAUUUUCACCAAAUAUGCAAUCUUUUAUUUUUGGGCCCAAAAAUGUUCUUUUUUUCAAAGUAACACUGAUUAAAAACUGUCCACCAUAUAGUGCCUGAUCUGACCCAAAUAAAAUGAAAUAAAAUAAAAUCAACUCGGAAAUGACAGCUCAACUCGAUAGACGCCGAUGUUUCUUUUCUUACAAGCUGGAGUAGCUUGUAUGCAUGAAUUUGGCCUAGAUCAUAGCUAGUACUAAAUUCUUUUCCACAACCUAAUUAAUCAAAGAAAAAAAAUUUCCCUUAAAAUUAAUGAUCAUCUGCCUCCGCCCACAGAAACUAUACCCAAGCUAAAAAAUCUAUCAAACAUAUCUGCUUAUCCUAAUUGGAAUAUUCAAACAAAAAUCAUUAAUCAUGCAGAUAAGCAGAUAAACAAAAAACUGAAGCAAAAUUGCAAGCGCCAGUUAAUUUGCAUGCAUAUAGAUACAAAAAAACAUAAUCUUGAUCACUUUAAUUUCACCCAAGCAGCAUAGCAAACAACACCAUCCAUCCAUUAGGACCAUUACACAUCUAAUCAAUCAAGCAUGAGAGGCAUGCAAGGACAACACUGAGAUCUUGACAGCUAUAGCAUAUAAGCUCAGCUAUGAUCAAGGGGACACUGUGCGUGUGUUCUUGCUGCGAACUACAUGGCAUUGGAUUUAAUUUCAUUAAUUAGCUAGCUCGGUCGAUCGAUCGAUCGAUCAUCCCCUGCACUGGGUGAUGGCGGAGCAGCCGCGGGAGUAAGGGUUGGCCUCGGCGCCGGGCUGGCAGUUGUAGUAGGACGCGCCGCGCUGCGAGCACGGCACGCUGUCGCGCCGCAGCGCGUCGUACCCGAUGUACCCCGACCCGCCCUGCAGCACCCGCCGCUUGCCCGUCGCCGCCGCCGCCAGCUCGUCCUCCCCCUCGCCGUCGACGCCGAGGAACUCCAUGCACUCCCCCACCGUGCCACGGCACGUCCUCCCUCCCCGCCUCAUCACCACCGCCGCGCGCCCCACCACGCCGCCCUCCACCAGCGUCGCCGCCGCCGCCGACGCCGACGACGCCGCUGACGCCGCGGCGAGGAGGAACGCGAGCAACGCUACUGCCGCCGCCGCCAUGCCGAUGAUCUCGUCGACGAGGAAGAAAGGUGGAGAUUGGUGUGAGGUGUGAGGAGGAGGAGGUGGGGGUUUAUAUCAAUGGCGGGAGAGGGGAGGAGGACGAGGCAGUAGGUGAGAGGCGAGGCGAUGGCGCGUCGGCGUCGGUGAGGUGACGUGGCGUAACAGCGACCGUUGGUUGGGCUGGAUCGAGAUCAAGAUCAAGAUCGAGGUCGCUCUCUCUCUCUCUCUCUCUCUCUCUUGCCGUCGAUGAUCUUUUGCGGUCGUAUGCGAAUACUAAUGAUUGAGCGAGGUAGCAGCAGUAUUAUUCUUCACUCAUUGGGAGUGUGACAUCAGAUGAUGGGGGUUUCUCUGUGCUAACUAUAUAUUUUCGUCUCCUACUAACUCCUACUGUGUUAAGGAAAUUUAUUUUGUAGAGAAGAAAUCAAAGGCUAAAUUUAAUAUAUAGGGUUGGUUAUAAGGUGAUUUCCAUGCAAUGCAUAUGGCGCCUUGUAUGCAUGGUGGCAAGAAAUAGUUUUAAAAUGAAAAUAGCAAUAUAGAUCGGGUACUGUCCACCAAAUAAAUAUAGUUAAUGUCAUUUCUCUAUUUUUUCAGGAAGCCACGCUACCUUGCUUAUUUUAAACCCUUCGAUGAAUAAUUUAUAUAUGGCCUAAUUAGCUCUCUUAUUUCUCUCCGGCCUGUUUCCUCACAAAGAAAUAUCAUCUCAAUUAUUUCUUACCUUCCAAGUUCAGAUGGAUGGUUAAUGCUUUGUUCGGAUUAUAUAUCUCACUUCUCUCCAAACUGCAUCAUCUCAAUUGUUAUGGUAUUUUUGAACUAUUGAUCAAUGGUGCAUACACAAAUCAAGAACAUCGUUUAGCUACAAAGCAAUCCAUCUUGUAACUAAUUUCUACCAUUGUCACAUAAUCCUACAGAAAUGCCAAAGGUUUCAUCUCGUGUAACAUGAUAGGCACAUGCUCUUCAAUAUUGCACUACAGUUUUCCCUUUUUUUUUUCCCUUCAAGGACAAAACUAGCUCCGGUACUGUUGAUAACUUGGUCAUAAGGCUUUACUCCAGCAAUAUAAUGUUCACUAUACCUAAUUAAUUGGGCGUGAUGGUACAUUAUCGACCGGUACUGUCAGACCUACUAAUUAAACGACCUCCAAUCCUACGGUUUACUUGAAUUCUACGAUAGUACAUUAGUACUCCACUAUAAGAUAAGUGAUGGAAUUGAUAUGACCUUAAUUUGGUUACUAUUUUCUCCGUUUUCAUAUUAAAAGACUUUCUAGUAUUGUUAAUAUUCAACAUCUCUAUGAAUAUAGACAAUGCUAGAAAGCCUUAUAAUAUGAAACGGAGGGAGUAUCAAUUAUCAAAAUAAUUAAUGAUCUCACAUAGGAAAUAAUAUAAUUAAUUUUGCUCAGUUUAGUUUACAUAAUUAGCUUGACAACAGUAUAUCAAAUUAAAGUAUGCAUGUGGUACACGUACGCACCCACUGUUCUGUGGCACUUUGCUUGUCUUGCACAUAUCUGCUGUUUGCCAACACACACUUAAAAACUCUAGAUACGAUGCAGCCUUGGCUACCCACACGCUUAAUUACCAGUUAUUAACUUAUUAUAUAUUGAUCCAACCGUGUUGCUGAGUUAUUAAAAAAAAUUCGUGUUGCUGAUGAUGCAUGUGUCGUGGGCUUUGUGUGUGAUCUCCUUCUUUCUAAUGCAUAAGCUUGCUCUGUAUUUCACCGGUUGCUUGCAUCCUGGAUUUGUGGUCGCCUUUUUACAAGAAACGACGUGCAGAUUAUUGCAUACAACAAUUACCAUCACUUUAAAAAAUCAUCCUCGAUAGUCCAUCUUUAUCGAUUCACGUCGAAUUUAUGUCUAAACUAGUUAGUGAAUAAAUAGUGAAUCGUCCGGCCAAUUCUCCUUAUCUAAAUCCCACGGGCCCAAUAAUCCCCCUUCCCUAACAUUCUCUGUCUUUAUCUCUCACUCAUCCUUUCUACUGUCUCGCACUAUAGACCUCCAUUUUGAUAAAUAAUUUGUAGCUAAAUAUAGUUUAAUAACCAAUUAUGUUAAAUUCGACUGAACGUUCACUCGUAGGUAAAUUGUACCGGAACAAGUGAUAUGUCAGUUCGUACUAUUCCAUUCAAUAUUUGUUGGCAUUUGACCGGAAUGAACAGUACCGCCGCUAGUUACGUAACGUUUUUAAGGGGUCGAAUGGUACGUACCAGCCAUUCCAGCUGAUACCAGAACAUAAUUGAUAACCUUGGUCAUGUUCUCUCAUCCCAAAAUAAAAUUAUUUCUACCAUGCAUUUAAUCCAUGUUCCAGAAUAAAACUAUUUCUACACCUAUCUUUUCAAUCUCUAUUUAAUUUUUUUCACCUACUUAAUCUUUUUUUUACCAAUCACAAACUUCUCUUGAUUAUUCUCACACAUUAUCUUAAUAUCCAUAUUUAAUUUUAGAAAUGGUUAUAUUUUAGAACAGAUCGAAUAUGAUCCAAGCUUAGCCGCUAAACCCUAGGGCUUGGCUGGCACAGGUACUUAACGUCCUACUGAACUUUUAAUGGCACGCACCACGCAGUUAUCGGCACAACAUUAGCUAGCUUAUCUUCAUCGAUAGGUUUUGCUUAGUAACUGUCACGCAAUGCACAGCAAAGCGUGAGCUACGAAUUGAUGGGUCAAUUGACACUACUACUCCUACUAACACGGCUCAACAAGUCAAGAUUAUCGUACACAAGGCAUUGUAGUAGUCUUAAGGGGAAAAAAAAUGAAAGCAGAGAAUAAGAAAAGAGCAGCUAAAGAGAGCUACCAAUAAUUAAUCAAUCAAGUAUAGUGAAUGUUGCAUGGAAGCAGAGCAGGACGCCGGCCGGCCGCUGGCAAUUAAAAACCAACAUCAUAUAUUCAUUUAUGUAACACACGUACAUAUAUACUUGGUGCGUGAAUUUAAUCAUUUUCAAUGUGGAACUACAGCGCUGGCCUAAACUACAUAUUUUUUCGAACGUGUAAAAGAAUUGCACGUUAACAUAUUAGUAGAAGGAACUGGCUUGAACUAUAUUAGUUGUUUUGCACAAAAAAAAUAACUGUUUCAAAGGAGAAAGGAAGUGUGAAACAGUUGCGAAUGCUAGAAAGAUUUUUGAGUCUGGACAAACUUUAAUAGAAGUAGUAUUUACUAUAGAAAUUUUAUCAUCAAUUUACUUAUCAAUAUUAAAAUUUAAUGGAGUUUUUGCAGACGAGCCUAGGCGGCUCCUGGGCUAGCCGGUCGGUGACUCCGCCACUGGUGUGAAAUAAUUAACUACUCAAUCAGAUAAAAAGCAUUUGACAUUUUACGGUAAUAAUUGUCAAACUUUUAAACUUUGACGUUGAUUUUAGAUGAGAAUAGAUUUAUAAUGUACUCCCUCUGUCCUAAAAUAAGCGCAGUCAUGAGUUUUCGUAUCUAAUUUUGAUCAUCCGUCUUAUUGUUAUUAGAUUAUAAAACAUAAAUAGUAUUUUAUACGUAGCUUAUGUUUUUUAGUUUUUUUCAAAAAAAUCAAAUAAAACGGACGAUUAAAGUUGAAUGCAUAAACUUAUGGUUGGGCUUAUUUUAGGACCCGGGCGGGGGGGGGGGGGGGUAUAUAAUAAGUUACCAUGCAUACUUUAAAAUUUGAACCGAGCACUCGAGAAUAUGCCGAUGGUCAGAAGUCUAGAAUUUUGAUCAAAUCUUGUUAUACACAUCAAAUAUUUACAACCGAAGAAAUACUCAAAGAAAAUUUAUAUAUGCGUGCUAUAGGCGAUGGAUUGAAACGAGAAAAUUGUAGUGCUUACACCAACAGAUUUAGAGGUGAGUAUAUACUUUAUUUGGAAAAAGAAAAGAAUUACAAUGUACUGUACGAAAUGGUUGGUACGUGCCAUCUAUCCGACGCGUCAAAUUUAUUUUAUUCGUCUUCACAAAGAAAAAUUAAAAGAAAAACUGUAGUAUACCCCACCGUACGUGCUGCGCUGGUAGAAGCCAAAGGGACGCUUUGAACACAUCCCUGUCUUCACUUUGGCCGACAAGCCGACCCCACCGUAGUAGCUACAAACUUGUCCUCUAGCGAUCGAAAUCGAGGUUAAUUUGGGGUGUGUUAUUCCUGAGAAAAGUUAAAAGUUUAAAAAAGUUAGGAGUUUAGAAAAAAAGUUGGAAGUUAAUAUGUGUAGGAAAGUUUUUGAUGUGAUAUGAUGUGAUGGAAAGUUGGAAAUAUGGGAACUAAACAUGGCCUUGUAGUAGUAUGAUUUUUACCUGAAAUAUUUACCGUGUUUCAAAGUGCAUUUGCUAGAGAUAGAUGAUUGUUGAUUUCGGAUGGUUUCAAUUUUGAGGAGCCCAUUAAAUCUUGCCAACUUUGCAAAAGAUAAAAGAAUAUGACCACAUUUUGUUUAAUCUUAUACUAUACAGUUGAAGUCAUGGUUCGAGAUCUUGUAUUUUAUCUAUCUGCGUACCUAUCUGCAAAUAGCUCUACGUUCACUUUAAAUGCUGAUAAUUUUUUUUUAUAAUUUGACAUGUAUAUAACUUUAUCGUUAGAUCACGAUGAAUCCAGGUUACAGUGGUGUAGUUUGAUUGAUAAAUUCUUCACAAAAUACAGUAAUAUAUAUGAAAUCAAAAGUAAGAGCUGUAUAUGAAAUUUUACAUUAUUUUCAGUAUCAUAAAAAUUCAUAAUUUCAAUUUUAUCUAGCAUGAGCAAAAUUCCUCUAGUUCACGAGGAAAAAAGAGAGAGGGGCACAUGCACACCAAUUCUAGGAUUCGAAUCAAAAUAUGUAAAACAACUUAUUCCUUUCACCGUCUGGCUAUGGGCAUGGUUUUCCACCGCCUCUAUACCAUACAGUAAUAUAUAAGAUAUAUGGACUGUCUAACAGUUGCUUGAAAAUUUUUAAAAUUCAAUUAAUUUUUGGACGACUAGAAUUACAACGAGAUUCGUGCGCUCUUUUUCUCUGUCCUCCACCCGGCCAGUACUAGGACGACGCCCGACCAUGCUAUCUACGCAACCGCACAGUCCCUAGCCUCGCCGGCUAGCCAAAAGGCAUCAAUGGCACCGGCAAGGCCCUUAUCUCCAGGGCCUCCCUCGCCUCCGCUGCUAACGCCGCCUAAUGGUGGCCUCCAUUCCCGCGGAUCCGGAGCCCUCAUCGCCACACCGUCUGCCAUCAGUCCAGCCGCUCUCAACGUCAUCUCUCUAAGCUUAGAGAAAAUGUUCCCAUUCCCUCACCUCAUCCUCUGAUGCUGUUUCCAACCCCUACCUGAGCCCUGACUCUAAUCCGUAGGUCCUCUAACGGAGCCGGUUUCAUCGGUGAUAAAAAAAAAAACAUGAAAGGAUCGGCAAGAAGCUCGUUGUUGUCAUUGUCGCCAUUGCAUGUAAGCCAUGGCUACUGCCUUCCCCUCUUCUUUCCUUAGCUAGAGGUUAAAAACGACUCCUACGGCUAGCUAGUAGGUGACUAAGAUUUCCCCAAAUCUCAGUGACCUAAAAUCUAUCAUUUCCCUAAGCAAUAGGUACCAUAAACUGAACUACAAACCUUAAGAUAUCCCAUGAUACUACCUUGGAAGGCCUACCCUACACCAUGCACUCUCCAGAUUGAAAAACUCAAACCGUUCUGGUUUGUAUAAUUAAUCGCAUCUAUAAUUAAUUAAUAUCAUCUUGUCGUCUAAACAAAUGCUAGCUGUUGGGUGACUUGGGGUCGCACUAGCAUCAACGCAAGAAAAUUGUCAGUCUAAACAAUGUUCUAUUGUUCUGUAUCCGGUUCUGUCGUUGCAGUGUCCCUUCAUAUAUACACGAGAAAAUUAAUUACUAAUUGUUGCAGAUUACACUGAUAAUCUUUUUAGGACCAAGAUUUGGGUGAUCUUUUUGCGAGCUAAUAUUGGAUCAUACGUCGCCAUCAAUCGACUAAUUGAGAGAUCGUCAUAGCAUCUGUUUUGAUGAUCAGCUGUUGUUUAAUUUCGUGUUCGGUCAAUUCGUUUUUUUUUUUUAAAAAAAGAGAAACUGAAAAUGAAAGUGAGAGGUCACCUUUGUACGCGGUUGGUCGCAACAGGGACAUCAUGUAUUAUUAUACUUGUAUACUAUGGAUGAAGGCUAAGCAGACACAAAUUUCUGCCAAUAAUUAGUUGUUUAGGCGAUGUGUUAGUCUUGCAGAUUAGGGCUGAUACAUAUUGUCUUGCAGAUUAGAUACGUUUGACCAAGUUAAACACCCAGUACCCAUUAUUGGUUCCUAGCAACUUAAACCCUCUCCUAGUUCAGCAGGAGAUGUAAGGGAGAAAUAUUCACAAGUUUUUUUUUCGUACUACAACAAACUACGAGUUUACAAUAUUUUCUAAAAAGUAAAGAAAAAGAGAGAAUAUCAUGUAGUUAAUUUAGCCCAGCAUAAUAUAGUCAUUGGUUUUGCUAAAAAUAUGUCAUCACACUUUUUACUCGGUUUUAGUCAUUUUUUUCUUAUAGGAUUGCUAUCCCCCUCUCUUUUAUAUGUAAAUAUGUUUUUGUCACUCCUAUCUACUAUUUCAAGUAGGUAAUCAAUCAUUUUUAUCCUAGUUCUCUUAUACCGUGUAUUAAAUUGAAUAAAAUAUUUGUAUUGGAAUUUAUAGUGUAAGCUUUAAAACUUAUACUGUAAUUACAAUAUAAAUGUAAAUAAUUUACAGUAUCAUAAAAAUGACUGGUUUUCUAAUGAAAAAUGUCUCCAUAAAGGCAUAAAUACUCUGUCAACACACUCUACUCUUUCCAAUCACAUGACACAAAUUUGUUUUUCACAUCAACUCUGCUAUCAAGGAAGGAAUAAGUUUACUUUAGAUCCGUCGCUCGACGUCGAGUUUAAAUAGUGUCCUUAAACUGUAAUAUUAGAUAUAUCGCAUCCGGUUAUCUGUAAUAUCAAGGUACCCAAGGUCUAAUAGUAGUAAUGUGCCCAGCUUUAGCUGAUAUGGUGAGUUGACUACGCUCAACAUGGCCGAGUCAGCGUGAGACCCACAUGGAGCUCAUACGUCAGCAAACCAAUCUUCUUCCCCCUCUCUCUUUCUCUCUUCCCCAUCUUUGUCUAGGCCUCCAAGGUGGCGGCCGAUGGGGAGAAGGGCUGCAGACGUGGUCUUCUUCUCAGGCAGCAUCCAUUUCUUGACGAUGACCAUGAGCAGGCCAUUCUCACAAUGUGUGGAGAUGUCGCCGGUGUCCGAGUCCUCUGGCAGACAGAACUUGUGUGCGAACGACCUUGGCAAUGCGUGGCGCUUCAAUCGGAUGUACUUGCACUCGCCUUCCUCCUCCUUGCUGUGCACAAAUCCCCUAGCCCCCGGUAAGACCCACAACGAAAGCCCGCACCCAAACCUUAGCAAAAAUCGAACCAAACAAUGGCGAGCAGGAUCUACCGGCGCCAUUGUCAUCAUUGUCGUCGUGUUCACCACUGCCAACAGCGCUUGGAGAGGGAGGGGAACAAGGGAAGGGCACGUAGCUCGCUGGCCUUCCUUCGCGCGCCCCUCCAGCUUCUCCCCCACCAGCCACACCCGCACCGCAGCGGUCUUCGUGCUUUCUAUCCUCCAUCGCUGCUUACCUUCAAGGAGGGAGGAGAGAAAGUCCAGAGGGAGAGAAGGGCAGGGGAAUGAGCCAAUGAGGCGCCGCCGACCAGAGGAGAUAGAGAGGAGAGAGGGUGAUGUGGAGGAAAAUGGGACCCACUGUUUAUUUUAUAUUCUUCGUUUGACUAACAUAUGGGCCCAUAUAUUUUUUAAUUAUGCUCCUAGUGCCAUGUGAGCGCUAUGUGGGACGAGGACAAAGUCAAACUAGUCACGCCGAUGGCAUGUCAGUCAAAACCGCCAUUCAAACUAUUUUGGGACAUCUUUUGCACUGAUUUUGAGAGUUGAGAGAUGUGUUAUAUAUAUGAUAUUAUGGUUCAAAUGAUGCGAUUUAAACUGCACGUGAAGAUGGGGGAUCCAAAGUAAAACUUAUUCCAUCAAGGAAUGCAACGUUGCUUGAUGAAGCCAAUAGAUCAUGGGCCUAACAAAGAACAACUCCCGGCUUGUAUAGCGGUGUGUAGUUUAUUUCCGGCCCAUUUUUCAGCAGUACAGAGGUCUCCGGCCCACUUGUAAUCCCCCAUCGCCUUGUUGGUUACUCGAGAGCCGAGACAGGUGACAAGAACUCCCAUAUAUUUAGGUUUAUUAAUGCUCUAUCAACAUGUUCACAUAUAUUUAGGCAACUUAAGAACAAUUCAAAUCGAUGGCAAUUAACUCGCACCUGCAUAUAAGCAUAUACAGAUCAACAUAUGAUUAAUUAUAAGCAAAAACAUGCGUACAUUAUUACAUAUAGCAGAGCAGGUAGUACAUAUAUCUAGCUACACAAAUAUAUAGUACAUAAUUAUUAAAGACCUCUAUAUAUAUGCAUCAGCCACACUCACUCAUGUACAUGAUACACAUACAAGUAAGCAAUUGAUAUAACACACUGCUGAUAAUUAAUACCCACCCACAAGGUAAUAAACCAAAUCGAUCAGCGACGACACAUAUGUAUACCACUACUCAUCACUCUCCAUGAACUCUCACACAGUCACACACACAGUCAUAAGAAGUAUAAUAAAUUCACACACACCACAACAAAGAUGAAAGACGAAGACGGAGACGAAGAGAGAAUGAUAGCCUGCAUGCAUGCAAGGUGGAUGGUCGUCUACCUUGCAUGCAUGCGAGCCUAUACAUAGGUCAAUUUAGGCGUCGACGACGCGGAAGGAGUCGCGGUUCUUGACGACGAUGUCGUACAUGUGGACGGAGGAGAAGGCGGAGAAGUCGGCGGGGAGGGAGAUGAGGUCGAGGGAGCCACGCUUGUGGAACUGGAAGAGGGAGGGGUCCUCGUAGUAGCGCUCCCACCCGAGCGCCGUCAGCCGCGCCUCCAGCGCCGCGUACGACGACACCACCUGCCCGCUCGGCGUGUGCACCAGCGCCUUCCUCCUCCCUCCCGCCACCGCCGUCCCCGCCGUCGCCUGCUGCUUCUCCACCAAUCUCACCACCCCGUUCUUGAACACCCAAACCCCUGACAUCUCUUAGAUCUCUCUCAAACUCUUUUUCUCUAGCUCUGAUUGCAAGAAGAAUGAAGAAUGUGCAAGCUAGCUAGAGAUAGCUAUGGGUGGAUGGAUGGGUGCAAGAUAGGGAGGUGAGGGGGUGUAUAUAUACAGAGGAGGAGGAAGAAGAAGGUAAAGCUAGUGUUAGGAGCUUGGAAAGGGUUUGUUUGUGGGUCAGAGGUGACAUGUGAAAGGGAGACAAGACAGAGAUAUGGUAGUAUGUACAUGUGUGCAUGCAUGCAUGUACUGCUAGCUAGCUAUAGCAGAUAUACUAACCUACUACUAUGCUAUUAGAUAUACUAAGAAAUAGAGAUAUCGAUAUCAUAAAGGAUUUAUAGAUAUAUGCGAAACGAACGAACGAUCGUUCGUUCGUCUAUAGUAGUUUAGUAUCGAGUAUACGUGGGGUCGUAGUUAGGUUAGGUCAUGAUAUCGAAGAUGUGCUGUAGCAAUAGCUAGCUAGCUCUCUAGCUCUGCCCCCUCUCUUCCUCCCUCCCCGUGUUUCAUUUGUUAGUUAAGGAUUCCUUGUUUAAUUUUCCAACAUUAUGUGCUUGAUAAGCUACCUGGAAUAUAUCUGUGAAAAGAAAGAAAAGAAUGAAUGAAAAGAUCGGUGUGUGUGCAUGGAUAUAUACCUAAUUGGAAAAAUCCGUCAGCUAGCUAUACCUAGCUAGCUAGUGAUCGUACAAUCUCUAAAAAGAAGAAAAAUAAACUAGUAUUUAUUCUCUAAUUUUUGGGACAAACCAAAGUCGAUUGAAAUAUAUACAUGCAUGCAUGACAUCAAGGGUUCUCGAUUAUCAACACAUGUUAUCGUGUGACCAUGACGCGUAGAAAAAGAGAGAUAAAAACCAUAUGGGUUGUGUAUAUAAAAUGCAUGAUUAAUCGGUUAAAUCCUAAUAUCCAUGCAUCUUACUUGGACCACAAUGAUAAAUUAGUGUUAUAUAUCCCAUAAAGCUAAUUGAUUUCACAAUGGAUUGAUAUAUAGAUAGAUAAGAAUUUUCAUAUGGUAACGAAAAUAACUUGUGAUGCUGUGCGAGGAAUCCUACCUACUUUCUUUUCUCGAAAACAAAAGGGGUCUAUUUAUCAAAGAAGGGAAUAUGAUUCACUUCCCAUAGUUUACUACUUUACUUAGCCAUCACACAAGAGAAUUUCAGCUGUACGUGCAUGCCCAUCUCUUUUCGAACAAUUUUUUUUUUCUAGUGAAAGUGAAUUCUGGCCGAUCGACAGAGCUAAGAUCACCUUUUAUCAGGAACAAAACCGAUUCUCCUAGCUCAUUGUCAAGUAUAUAUUUUGUGUACGGCAGGACAUAAUUUUUUUCUUUAAUUUUUAUAGCUCUAGCUAUAUUGAUUGACAAGCUCAAGCUAGCAUCUUCUGCAGAAAAUUUAAAAAGAUUUUGGUUUAUCUUAGAAUACCACAUCUAUUUAUAUAUAUAUGUAACAAAAUUAUUCCCAUAGUGCGCACGCAAUGGCGCAUUAAUUUGGUUAUUGUGUUCGUUCCCUUUGUGAUAAUAUUGGUGCACGUCUGUCCCUAAAAUUUGGCACACAUUUGUUUAAUCGAGGCCUGUUUUGGUUGUGUUGUACGGCAGAAAAAUGAACGCCCCAUAAUUAAGAAAUGUUUUUCAGAGUUAAAAGUUUACUUUUCAAAUUUGUCUGGCCGAUAUAUAUAUGCUAAAAGUUGGCGUUAAUCUUGCUCCUCAAUCAACCGAUUAAUCAAUAGAAAGGUUCCAAUGACUUAACCUAAACAUCCAUCAUAUAUAUGCUUUCGGGCGCCACUGCUUGUUUGUGCAAAAGGUACCGGCCGAACAUAGUACUGUUUUAAAAUCCUCAGUACAGUGGUUCCGUGUUGUGACAAAUCACACAUAAAUAUACCACAAGUUCUAAGUUAAAUAAACAUAAUCACCAGCUUUUUAAAAUUAUCGCAAUGCUUAAAAUCAUAAUAUUGUUGGAUAACUAGCACCUACAAUAUAUAUCAUGGUGUAUAUGAUCGAAAUGUUUUCUUGACAAAUCUAUGGAUAUGUUUAUUUUUGUUUAUUUGUUAAUGGCCAAUGUUUAUAGUUUGUGAUUUGCUAGAUUAAUUUUCAGAUGCCUGAAAAUUUAUAAAUUUUGAGUAAUUGAAAUUGUACACUGCUACAAUUGCAGUGCUAUACAAUAUGCAAUUUUAGUUAUUUGAACUGUAAUGUUGUUGUUAUAUAUUGUUUUACUUUAUUUUUAUUUAUUGUUUCGCAUGUAAGUUUGCAUUUUUUUUAUGAGUUAUAAGUUUAUUUCAUAUAACCAGGCACCUGAAAUUAGAAAUUAGUGAGAAAUAGAAACAGUUUUGUACAAAGCUACGACUACAACCAAAGCAAUCGAACAACUGAUAAUUAAGAAACCUAGCUCGAUCUCUACCUCUUCUAGCCAAUUCAACAAAAACUGCACAUUUUGCUCACAAAGAAUGAUAUGAAGGAAUAUGUGUGGAGAAUGAAGGGAUUAAUCAUGAGAGAGACAUGCAUCAUUUAUCCACGAGAAUAUAUGGUCAUCACUCAUUUGACAAGCUAAUAGCAAUGGUACGACAUGAUCGACGAAGGAAAUGAGAUAAACGUGUGGCCCUAAGUGGUAGAAGAAUAACCUAUACCAGAAAAUUUUGAUCAUGAGCUUGCUCAAAACGACUUAUAUAUAUUACCAAUUGGAUAUAUAUACGCAUGUCUUUUGGUUAAGGUCAUCACCAACUUUCUAAUUUGUGAAUGGCACCUUUCGUUCAUGAGCUGUCGCCAGUACGUACACUCUUGUAGACUGUGGAUUGAGAUGGAGAAAUUCUAGACGGGGAAUCGUAUUCGGUCGAUCGUAUAUGCAUGCAUGCAGCUGCAUGUGUCCACAAAUAUUCUCACUAUAUUAUAUGAAACUGUAGCAAACUAUGUGCAUUCAGUGGAAAAACACGGUACUUUAAUUUAGUGUGGUGGCGAGUUGGGCGUGCAUAUUAUGGGUGAAAACGGUACGGAAACUUUCCGGAUUCCGGACCUAUUUUCGGAAACGGAAUCUGUCGGUCAAAAUUUUUUCGGAAUUUUUUUGGAAUGAAAACGAAUUCGGAAAUAUUUUCUCGGAAACGGGAUCGAAAAUGAUAAGGGCAGUUUCCGUCGGAACUCGGAAUCGGUCGGAAACUUUCCGGAAUUUUUUUCGGAAUUUCCGGAAAUUUUGUGACUGAAAUACCCUGGAUUCUUUUUUUAGCACUGAAUAGUGAAUACCAUAGUGUUUGGCCUUUAUUUUUUAAAAAAAAUAUUUGUUAUGCAAAUCUAAAGUUACAUACGAAUUGUUGACCGUUGAGACUUGAGAAUUGGAUUUAUCAGUUUGAGGGGUUCUUGUAUUCCGAUAAAUUUCCGUUACCAUAUUCACUCCGUUUUCGGUUUCGAUAAUAUUCUAUUCCGUUUUUUAUCCGGGAUUUUCGAUUCCGAAAAAAAAGUAUGAAAACGAAAAUGAUAAAGAUAGCUUCCGUCCGUUUCUGUACCGUUUUCACCCCUAGUGCAUAUAUGACUUCACUUACCAGGUUUAAAUCCUAGCGUUUAAAGUUACGCACAUAAAAAGUUGCGUUUAGUAGAAAUGCAACAUGCAUGUGCAGUGUAUAUAUGAUUUCUAACAGAAAUUUAACGAGAUUUAUCAUUAGAAUCAUAUCUUUUAAGUGCAUGUGAAUUUUUGGGGGACGCUAGAGCCGAUGCUUCGAGCCGAACCUUUUUUUUACUCAGAGGUCCGGCACUGAUUUCGUUUUCUGUAGUAGUGUUAUAAAGAAUUAAAGCGUACGUCCUCUUCAUGUAGGAGUAUGUGGUAGCUAGUGUGAUGUACAUCCAUCGAUAUCGAAUGAUUAACCAUGCAAAUAAUUGAAAAUCUAGCGGCUAGCUAGCAUGCAAUUAGCAGGGCUGAGCUCGUGCCUAACUAUUUGAUGAAUUAAACACGUGCGCUAGUUCAUCGUUCAUACGUAUAUAAUUGAUAUGUUCCUGCAUGGGCAUGUUGAUGGAGCUAGCUAGUCGUCGAUCGAUCGAAUCAUAUAUCUUUUAUGUGAUUGAUAUUCUCCCCUUUUCAGUUCAGAAUAUAUGAGAUCGAGUCAUCGAUCUUAUUUUGCUAGUUAAAGUACAAGUUUUUAGUUGCCUAACAAUGUACAAACUCAGGCUAUUAUAUUCGAUCUGAUUAGUAGUCUGACUAGGACAAGUCUCUACAAGUUACUACAAAGAUUAACUUAUUAAUUAACUAUACUGCUGAUGCCUCUCAAACGAAUCAUCAAUUAACAAGGCUGAUGUGACAUUUUGUUCAAAACUUGGCUUCUCUCCACGUUUCACAUUUCGUUUUGACGAUCAACGGCCUGUGGCAGAAAAAUAUAUAUUGCCAUGGUUUUCACUCGCUUUAUUGGAUUCAUAUUAUUGGAGAAGACAGGGAAUUUUUUUAGUUUGACUUGGGUUAAAUUUUCAUUAAAAAAAGUUAUAGAAGAACGGCAGAGAUGAACUAAGUCAUCGAUGAAAUAUAUAUUACUCCCUCCGUUCCCUCCGUUUCAUAUUAUAAGUUAUUUGAUUUUUUUUUGUCAAAUUUUUAACCAAGUUUAUAAAAAAUAUAUACUAACAUUUUUAAUAAAAAAACAAACAUAUGAAAAUAUAUUCAUGCCAGAUUUAAUGAAACUAAUUUGGUGUUGUAGAUGUUGUUUUUUUUAUAAACUUAACUAAAUAUAAAUAACAUUAACUAAGAAAAAAGUCAAACAAUUUAUAAUAUGAAACAAAGGAAGUACUUGACAAAAAAAAGGUAAAAAUGUACACUCAUAAUUAAGUUGUAUGCAAGCCAUAUCGAGGCCAAUAAAACACCAUACAUAAGACAUAAAUUGAUCCUCAUUUAGUUACUACCACAUUCUCAUUUUAAAUGCACUUGUGGGUUUUCUUGUCCAAUGUUUGAUCAUCUGUUUUAUGUGAAAAAAAUAUGAUUUUUUUUAAAAAAUAGUCACACAUAAAGUAGUAUUUAUGUUUUAUCAUCUAAUAACAACAAAAAUACUAAUCAUAUUUUUUUAAAAAAAUAAAACAUAUAGUCAAACAUUGAACAUAAAUAGUGUAAAACUGCGAUCUUUCUGGACAGGGGUAGUACUCAAUUUAUCCAAGGACUUACUUGGUAGGUCAAGGUAAUAUUAUAACUCAUAAACAAUCUCUUUUUUCUUGAUAUACAACAUAUAUUUUCUUAAAUAAAUUCAACAAAGAAUUUUAAAAGACUACGUGUAAAACGUACACGCACGUAAACCACCAUAAACAUACACCACACUGCCCUUACAACGCACAUCUGAUAGCCUGAUACGUCACCUGAAAAAGACCACGCAUGUGUGCUACUUUAGGAUGGCCUCAACUAUCCUACAAAUGAUCCAAUUUUGUAAUUACUCCUUCCAUCCCAUUAUAUAAUAAUAUAUAAUGUAAGAUAUGAUCAAACUCGAUACGGUCUCCAAAACUAACUAAACUUUAGCUCAUAACUUCUCACAUACUAUAAAUUUUGUAGCAACAAAAUUAUAACCAUACGAAAGUAUAUUCAAAUGUCAAUACAAAGAUAUUAUUUUUAGAAAAUAAUAUUCGAUUUAUAUUGCACUAAUUAUUGGUUAAAUAUUUUCAAAGAUGAAUCUUACAAUAUAUGCACGCCUUAUAUUAUAGGAUAAAGAGAGGACUAUAAAAGAGUCCUUAAUAUUUUCUUAUUUAAUAACUUAAUGAAUCAUAUUUAUUUAUACUACCACCUUAAAUACCGACAUUAAGAUACCACCGCUUCCACUCAACACAUGUUACUCUAGCCACUAACGGGCAAGGCAAAAGGCGCACACAAGUUAAGACUGAACUUCGAUCCUAUCAUGGAUUCGUGCUAAUCUCCUGUAGUCUAUAAUUGUGAAACGUACGUGCUAAUAAUAUACCUCCAAUCUAGGAUGGUUAACCGAUUGCUCUUCCUGGAAAUCGACUGCGAUGGAACGUAUAUGUGUAGGGAAUAAAUAUCGAACCUGCUGAUAUAUAUAUAUAUAUAGGAUGGUUAGCCGGUGAAUCGAUCCGGUGCGCGUCGCUAUAUCAUGUGCGCAUCAACUUCAGUUUUACCAAGCUUCAUGGGGCACAACUCUUGCCAUGGCAAUGCAUGCAUUUCGUGCAUACCAUUCUACGUCUCACCGUGUGUUUAGACUAAUAAUAAAACAAAUUAUAGAUUACAGAUUCCGCAUAUAAACUGCGAGACGAAUUUAUUAAACCUAAUUAAUCCGUUAUUAGUAAAUAUAUUUACUGUAACAUCACAUUGUCAAAUCAUGGCGUAAUUUAGGCUCAAAAGAUUUGUCUCGCAAUUUACAUGUAAACUGUGCAAUUGAUUUUUUCACAUUUAAGGCCCCAUGUAUAUAUCCAACAUUGGAUGUAACGUUUUUAGCAAAAGAAAUUUAGGAUCUAAACAAGGCCCAAGCAUAUAUGCGUCAACUUUCAAGUCAAUUCAGUGUUAUUAGUAGCUGUAGCCUCCUAGAUCUGCUCUUGUCAAUUGACAUGACAUCUGCACCAAGCAUGCAUAGAUGGAUGCAUUUAUGCGCAUUCUGAGUGAUACUUUGAACGAAUAUAAUCCGGAUCAGCUCGAUCUCGAAUGGCUUGUCGAAUAGUUUCAAAGAUACGUUGGAAAGAAACCCAUAAACUAGGGGCAUGUUUGGUUUGACGAGUAGGGCUAUGAAUUCACCACUAGUUUGGUUUGAGGUAUGGAAUAAGUUUGUCCAUAAACUCAUUUCUCAAAGGCCCAUGCUAAGCUAUCAGACGAGGAAGGGAGGAUUUCAUAAUGGACCACACCAUCCUAAUAGAUGAUUUGAUUUCUCUAACCAAACAGCCCAUUAAAGUCUCCUUUCAUGGACCAUCUAUAUCGAAAGCAGCAAACAUCCAAACUCGGACCAAAGAAAGAUGAGCAUAU